rnacentral:lncRNA from 1 species
CUUAAUGGCGAGGAAAGACCAGCUAUGAAGGAUGUGGUGACGGAAAUAGAGAGUCUGAGGAAAUUCAGCAAACAUCCUUGGGCUAAUCGACAUGGCACUGAGGAAACUACAAGCUUGAUAGUUCAUACAGAGAUUCAGCAUUCAGACCUCUAUGAAAUUCAGCUAAGUUCUCAUGAUGGGAAUAACUCUGAACAGUAUAGCUCAAGUACUACUGUUAGUUUGUUGCACCAGCCAAGCAGCCCUCGUUGAGAUAUAUCUUGAACUCCAUGAUUUGUUCAUAAUACAUGCAUGUGUAUUCUAAAAUUUCAUUUCCAUGUCUAGUUACCGGUUUGUUACACGGUUCAUUUCUAUCUAGUUAUGCAUACAUAUUCGAUAAAGUGGUUUUUAUACAAGGAACACACUGUAUACGCAAAUAGUUAUAUGUUUUAGUAGGGAAGCAUUCGAUUCGGUCAACCGAAGACCGAACCGAAUAACCGAAAAAAAUAAAUUCGAUUUAAUUAACCAAACUACAUAUUUCAGUUCAGUUUUCGGCAAUAAAAUUUCAAAAAUUCGGUAUUUUUUUGUCAGCUUUUAGCCGCGGUUAACCGAUAACCGUUCGGUUGAUAACCGUUACUUAAUUGUCAAUACUAAAUAAUUUAUUAAUAUCACCUAAUUAUCUAUACAGAGAAAUUAUUCAAUUUAAACUUUAAAACCAAAUAGAUUUGAAACUCCUUAAAUGAACCGAAGAUUCUUUACUUCAAUUAGCUUUAAAUCAUUUUUUUGUUUGUGUAUAUAUAUUUGGGUUUAUGUGUAUAUAUUUGGGUUUGUAUGAUAAUGAGGUUAGUAUGUUAAUCUUUGGGUUUGUGUAUCAUUGUCUGUAUGUCAAUUAGGUUACUUGGAAUCUUGGAUACACUGCUGUUAACAUUUCACCGUUGGCUGCUGCUACUCCUUGUUCAUGUGCUGCACUCAGUUGAAAUAAUAUCAGUACAGAGCAUGUAUAAUGUUAUGUGUUACAGAGCUGCAGCUAGAGCUGGCCAAAUGAGCAGGUUCGAACCGCUUGUUCGGAACAGAACCGCCUACUUAUUUGUCAAAAUUCUACUUGUGGCGGGUUUGAUUAGGCCCGGCUCGGCUCGUUAAAUAUUACGAAUCGAAUACGAAUAACUAUAUGGGAAACUGGAACCGGCCCGCGAAUCAAACUAAUCAUGCACGUCUUCGGCUCACGAAUCGAACAAGGCGAACGAAUCAAACGAGUCAGACAAAUCGAACGUAUUCAGCCCGGACCGGCUCGCGCGGAAUCAGCCUGCGAGUCCGGCCACGCGCCAGUCUGUUCUGCAGGCUGCAGCAAGGUUCGUCUGUGACUCUAACUCGUCUUUUAUCCCCAAUGUUUGUCUCCCCUCCCAGUUCAGCUUUUGCAGGCACCAACGGCUACAUAGCCAGUCUUUCCCUCUUUUUGUCAUUUCAUCGAACACCUGCUUGGCUGCUUUGCACUCGAAAAUUACUAGCUGAAAUAGCGACUACAAAACCUUUUUUUUUUUUUGCGCUAAAUACAAAACUUUUUUUAAUCUAAUUAACUGAAUUACUAGCUGAAAUAGCGACAACAAGUUACAAUUACAACAAGUCAAGAUAUAUCAGUGGCAACUACGAAUUAUAAGCUGCAGAUCGCAAGUAAUAAUCAUGAUACAUUUUUAGAGAUUUAGUUCAGUAACAUAGAUGGCAGAACUAAAUUUUUUAAUAAUAUUUACUUGUUCAACUGGGAGUAUGUUUUACAUUUUUAUUUUUUACAAAUUUUGAAACUGAAAGCAAACCAAGAUUUUAAAAUCGAAAUGAAAUAGAUUGUUCCGCGUUGCGGUUGCGGUUUUUGAUUUUUAAAACCAAUGAUUUUCGGUUCCAACCGAUUUUAGUUUAUCCAAAAACCUAACCGAAUUGAGAUUUGCUCUCCCUCAUCCGUUGCAUGCUUAUAAGAAUUUCAAAAAUCCGUAAAAAGACUUAGGAAAGGAUAUCUACGGUAGAGAGGCACAAUAUUCAUCACAAAACAAAUUCAUAUAUAACAAUCAGAAAAAAUAAAAAUAAUAUUAAUCUUUGUGCUAGAUGCACAACUGGAAAUGAAAACAUAAGCGAGAAAUACGCAUGUUAAAUUAAUAUGUGCGAACUUUUUUUAAUAACCACUUGGAGCUUUCUCGUUUGAAACCGGAUAUUAAGAGUAUCUCCAAUAAUCUCUUAAUUAACUCUUAAAUAAUAAUAAAUAUAAUAUAAAAUAUUAAACUCUAGUAAAUUAGUCAUUAUUAGGAGUGUGAACUUCAACAAUAUUCUUUAUGCUCACUUUUAAUAUUAUAUUUUUUUCUUGUUUGAACUCCACUAUGACAAACAUUCAAAUUCAAAUGAGAGAUAAUUGAUAUUUUAUUAUAAAAAAAUAAGUUAAAAAUCAUGUAAUGGCUCUUAAAAGAGAGGAGAAAAAAGAGGCUUCUAGUAUUUUUAGGAGCUAUUGAGAGUCUCUUGGAGUUCUAUUUUUUCUCAUGCUCCUAUUUUUGGUCUUAAGAGCCUAUUUGAGAGUCUAUUGGAGCUGCACUAAUGAAUAUGCUCUAAUGAAUAAUUACUACUCCUUCUGUCCCGUGUAGUUCUAUGUAUACGUAUGGGGUGUGACACAGAUUUACUGAUUCGGAGUCACGUCCGGUUCUCAGACCUGCCAAGAACAAAUCUCGACCGGUGAAAUCAUAAUGCGCAUAAAGUGGGUGUAGUGUGAGUAAAAUAAUAGGACCAAUUAAUAUUUAACGUAUAAAGUGAGUGUACCGGAAAAAAAAUGGGUGAAGUUAAUCUUUUAUAUUAUAAAGUUUUAUAUUAUUUUUGGAAUCUAUACAAUUGAAUGGUAUAUCCAAAAAGAAACCGUAUAAAAAUGAAUUAGACGAGGAGUAAUGAAACAAGGACCAGUUAACAGUCUUGACCGUCACCAUGGAGCAACCAUAUUUGAUGCCAAAACAUCGAAGACCCAGCUUAUGGAGUUGGCAUAGACCUGCAAGCAUUGACCAACAAGCAUACUUUUCUAAAUGUGGAAAGCAAGGCAAAAACUGACGGUGCACAUUCGCAGAAGACCAUUCGGAUAACAAGAUUAAAGGAAACUGUGGUGUGGAGCUUCACCUGUAACAUCAAUACCAGCUGACCAGAACUUUACAUCGUACACAUUGUCAUAUCCGUCGAAAGACUAGCGUGUUUCAAGGGCAAUUCCUUUUGGAGUGUAUUGCAGAGCUUUCCGAUUUGUGAUGCUACCGCAGAAAGCAAUUUUUGAGGUAAGUACUGAGGUUGUGGUGGCAAAUGCUGAGAAUUUUCAUACUUGUUUGGUAGUUGAAAAGUCUUGGAGAGCGAGAGCCUGGGUCGGCCUUGGGUAAGGCGACCAAGGCGAACGGUUAGGGCACCAUUAUUUUAGAGGCACCAAAAAAUCUAUGCGUAUAUAGUAUAUAUAGAUAAAUUCAUGCAUUUAUAUAUUUACAUGCAUGUGAAUUGAUUGUGUUAUUAAUCUUAAAACAAUAUUGAGUCAAUUUUCAAAUGAGUGAUAUUUUUGAUACAAACUUACAAAGUGAGUGACUAAAUUGAGUCAAUUUUCAAAUGAGUGAGUAAUUUGAUAUAUUUGAACCAAACGAAUUAUGACAUUGAUAUUUAUCCCAAUUUAAAUGUAUGUAAAUUUUUGUUUUACGAUUUUGAAAAGGCUUAAUGACCUUUUAGCCCUUGAAGUUUGGGUGGAAGUUCCGAUGCGGCCUCGAAGUUUAAAAACGUACCUUUCGACCUUCAAAGUAUUUUUGUCGUACCUUUUAGCCCUUAUGGCAUAUACUGGUAUAUAACGGGGUGGACAAAGUUGACAUUUCACACGUGAGGGUUAAAAGGGACAUUAAACAUUAAGGGUUAAAAGGAACAUCUAAUGUAUUUUAAUGUAUUUUAUAGGGAUUAAAAAGGAACGAGAUGUAUACUUUAAGAGUUAAAAGGUAUGCCCAAACUUUACCCCGAAUAUGAAUUGUCAACUUUAUCCCCCGAUUUAUACCGGUAUUUUUAAAAAUGGCUAAAAGGUACAAUCGACCGGUGAAAUCAUAAUGCGCAUAAAGUGGGUGUAGUGUGAGUAAAAUAAUAGGACCAAUUAAUAUUUAACGUAUAAAGUGAGUGUACCGGAAAAAAAAUGGGUGAAGUUAAUCUUUUAUAUUAUAAAGUUUUAUAUUAUUUUUGGAAUCUAUACAAUUGAAUGGUAUAUCCAAAAAGAAACCGUAUAAAAAUGAAUUAGACGAGGAGUAAUGAAACAAGGACCAGUUAACAGUCUUGACCGUCACCAUGGAGCAACCAUAUUUGAUGCCAAAACAUCGAAGACCCAGCUUAUGGAGUUGGCAUAGACCUGCAAGCAUUGACCAACAAGCAUACUUUUCUAAAUGUGGAAAGCAAGGCAAAAACUGACGGUGCACAUUCGCAGAAGACCAUUCGGAUAACAAGAUUAAAGGAAACUGUGGUGUGGAGCUUCACCUGUAACAUCAAUACCAGCUGACCAGAACUUUACAUCGUACACAUUGUCAUAUCCGUCGAAAGACUAGCGUGUUUCAAGGGCAAUUCCUUUUGGAGUGUAUUGCAGAGCUUUCCGAUUUGUGAUGCUACCGCAGAAAGCAAUUUUUGAGGUAAGUACUGAGGUUGUGGUGGCAAAUGCUGAGAAUUUUCAUACUUGUUUGGUAGUUGAAAAGUCUUGGAGAGCGAGAGCCUGGGUCGGCCUUGGGUAAGGCGACCAAGGCGAACGGUUAGGGCACCAUUAUUUUAGAGGCACCAAAAAAUCUAUGCGUAUAUAGUAUAUAUAGAUAAAUUCAUGCAUUUAUAUAUUUACAUGCAUGUGAAUUGAUUGUGUUAUUAAUCUUAAAACAAUAUUGAGUCAAUUUUCAAAUGAGUGAUAUUUUUGAUACAAACUUACAAAGUGAGUGACUAAAUUGAGUCAAUUUUCAAAUGAGUGAGUAAUUUGAUAUAUUUGAACCAAACGAAUUAUGACAUUGAUAUUUAUCCCAAUUUAAAUGUAUGUAAAUUUUUGUUUUACGAUUUUGAAAAGGCUUAAUGACCUUUUAGCCCUUGAAGUUUGGGUGGAAGUUCCGAUGCGGCCUCGAAGUUUAAAAACGUACCUUUCGACCUUCAAAGUAUUUUUGUCGUACCUUUUAGCCCUUAUGGCAUAUACUGGUAUAUAACGGGGUGGACAAAGUUGACAUUUCACACGUGAGGGUUAAAAGGGACAUUAAACAUUAAGGGUUAAAAGGAACAUCUAAUGUAUUUUAAUGUAUUUUAUAGGGAUUAAAAAGGAACGAGAUGUAUACUUUAAGAGUUAAAAGGUAUGCCCAAACUUUACCCCGAAUAUGAAUUGUCAACUUUAUCCCCCGAUUUAUACCGGUAUUUUUAAAAAUGGCUAAAAGGUACAAUAAAGAUACUUUGAGGGUCGAAAGGUACGUUUUUAAACUUCGAGGCCGCAUCGGAACUUCCACCCAUACUUCGAGGGCUAAAAGGUCAUUAAGCCAUUUGAAAAAUAGAAGUACUAUUUUCAAAAUUCGUUUAGGGCACCCAAAUCUCUGGGGCCGGCCCCGCGGGGAGAGCAGACAAGGGGAGUUAUAGGAGUAUGAUUGCUAUAUAAACAGAGCUAUGGACUGAGGAACAAGAAUAUACAGCAACAAUAUACACACCAAGAACAUACACUUCCGAUAUCGAAAAGCUAAACACGAAAAUGUCCUCCUGUCUUUUUUUCCUUGUUGUUCUCCUGCAUUUUUCCUUCGGGUUAAAACAGCUAGAGUCGACCACUCUUAGUUUUAAUACCACCGACGCUAAACACAGUAUUCGGAUGGCUAAAAACAUUACAAUUGAGCCAAAAUGUCAGAGUAAAUGCGGAGACCUGACGGUACCAUAUCCGUUUGGAAUCGUAUCAAAGGGUCUCAAGUGUUCCAUAGACCCCUCUUUUGAUAUUACGUGCAACAAUUCUUUCAAUCCUCCCAAGGCCUUUAUACAAACUGGUAACAUUCAGGUGUAUGAUAUAUCGGACACUGAGUUAAGAGUAUCAACUUUCAUGUCUUCCAGAUGCUAUAAUCAGCCCGGCUUUUUAAAUUACACCGAAGCUCGGGUUAAUGUUGAACCUCCGUAUAUAUAUUCUGACGCAAAUGUGUUCACAGUUGUUGGUUGUGAUGACUUUGGCAGCCUUUUCAGAGAUGUAAAUUCCGUUUCCCGUAAAGGAUGCAUGACAACAUGCGACGACGCUGAGGAUGUCGAUAAAGAUGAGUGCUCCGGCAAUGGUUGUUGUCAAACAUCCGUCAAUCUUGACAAGUAUUUCCGAAUCGGUCUUUCAAGCGAUUUUAAUCAUACAUAUAACGUCUCAUCAUUUAACCCGUGCGGUUAUGCAUUUUUGGGUGAGAAAGAUAAAUUCAAGUUUCAAGGCACAUCAGAUCUUAAUGAUCCAGAUUUCCGGAACAGGACUAAGGCUAAUGUUCCUAUAGUACUAGACUGGGGUAUAGGGAAGAACAAUUGCAUUGAAGCACAGAAAGACCAAGCUUCUUAUGCUUGCAAACAUGAAAAUAGUGACUGCAUAAAUGGAAGUAGGUCUGGUGGAUAUCGUUGCAUUUGCAGAGAUGGUUAUGAGGGUAAUCCAUAUCUCAGUCCAGGAUGCCAAGGUAAUUAAUCUAACUCUUCAUUCUAAUUUUGAAUAUUUGGAGUAUCUAAUGAGCUGAUUUAAUCUAAUUUAAUUGUUUGAUUGUAAGAUAUAAAUGAAUGUGAACAACAUACACAUGGUUGUGAACAACACUGCAAUAAUACUCAGGGGGGUUUUAAUUGCUAUUGCGGAUCCGGCUACUCUAUUGAUGUUCGUGAUGGCAAAAAAUGCACUGCUAAAAGUGUUUUAAUUGCUAACGGCAACAGGAUCAAGUUGGUAUUAGGUAAAUUAGUUCUCAGCAAUGAUCCAUACAUAUGCAUAAUGUACUGGAAUAAAUAAUCAUGUGAUAUACGGGUGUAUCAUGCAGGUUUGGUAAUUUGUUGCCUUUUAGUAAUCAUCGGAAUGAACUGGCUGUACUGCAUCAUGAAGCAGAGAAAGCAUUCUCAAUUACGAGAAAAAUUCUUUGAGCAGAACGGGGGUUUUCUCUUAAGACAACAAAGUAUUUCUGAGGGAGGUAGUAUCGAGUCUACAAAACAUUUCACUUACGAAGAAUUGAAGAAAGCGACCAACAACUAUGCUGCUGAUAGAAUAGUUGGACAAGGUGGUUAUGGUAUAGUUUACGAAGGAAUUUUACCUGAUCAACGUGUCGUUGCAGUCAAAAGGUCUAAAGUAUUGGAUACGAGUCAAAUAGAUCAAUUUAUCAACGAGGUGGUCGUUCUUGCACAAGUUAACCACAGAAAUGUGGUCAAACUUCUAGGAUGUUGUUUAGAAUGUGAGGUGCCAUUGUUGGUAUAUGAGUUUAUAUCUAAUGGCACUUUGUUCCAUCAUGUCCACAGUACUGACGGAGGCUUGUCAUGGUUAUCUUUAGACAAUCGGUUGAGAGUUGCUGCUGAAUCUGCUGGUGCCCUUGCGUAUCUUCAUUCAGAAGCUUCUAUGCCCAUUAUGCAUAGAGAUGUCAAAUUAGCCAACAUAUUACUUGAUGACAAUUAUGUUGCUAAAAUAUCUGAUUUCGGAGCCUCCAGGCUGGUACCCAUGGAUCAAACUAAAGUGAUCACAUUAGUCCAAGGAACUUUAGGCUACUUGGACCCUGAAUACUUCCAUACAGGUGAACUAACCGACAAAAGUGACGUUUAUAGUUUUGGAGUGGUCCUUGCAGAGCUCUUAACUGGAAGAAAACCAAUUUCCAUGGAAAAUUCUGGGGAAGAAAAAAAUUUAGCCACGUAUUUCAUUACUUCCCUCAAGGAGAACAGAUUAUUUCAAGUUCUAGAUCGUCGAGUAGUGAGGGAAGGGUCGAUGGAUCAACUUCAAAACGCUGCUCAACUUGUGAAGAGGUGCCUUAGCCUUAAUGGCGAGGAAAGACCACCAAUGAAGGAUGUGGCGACGGAAAUGGAGAGUCUAAGGAAAUUAACCAAACAUCCUUGGGCUAAUCAACAUGGCACUGAAGAAACCACAAGCUUGAUCGUUGAUAGAGAGAUUCAGCAUUCAGACCUCUAUGAAAUUCAGCUAACUACUCAUGGUGANUUUUGGAGUGGUCCUUGCAGAGCUCUUAACUGGAAGAAAACCAAUUUCCAUGGAAAAUUCUGGGGAAGAAAAAAAUUUAGCCACGUAUUUCAUUACUUCCCUCAAGGAGAACAGAUUAUUUCAAGUUCUAGAUCGUCGAGUAGUGAGGGAAGGGUCGAUGGAUCAACUUCAAAACGCUGCUCAACUUGUGAAGAGGUGCCUUAGCCUUAAUGGCGAGGAAAGACCACCAAUGAAGGAUGUGGCGACGGAAAUGGAGAGUCUAAGGAAAUUAACCAAACAUCCUUGGGCUAAUCAACAUGGCACUGAAGAAACCACAAGCUUGAUCGUUGAUAGAGAGAUUCAGCAUUCAGACCUCUAUGAAAUUCAGCUAACUACUCAUGGUGAGAAUAACUCUGAACAGUAUAGCUCAAGUACUACUGUUAGUUUGUUGCACCAGCCAACCACCCCUCGUUGAGAUAUAUCUUGAACUCCAUGAUUUGUUUAUAAAUCAGGCAUGUGUAUCCUAUAGUUUCAUUUCUAUGUUUAGUUACCAGUUUGUUGCACGGUUAAUUUCUAUCUAGUUAUGCAUACGUAUUCGAUAAGGAGGUUUCUAUACAAGUAGCACACUUUAUAUGCAAAUAGUUGUAUAUUUUAGUAGCAAAGUUUUACAUAGUUCAUUAAUUGUAUAUUUUAUAGGAUUUCUUCCUGGCUGAUAAGAUCUAUCUUGUAAGUUUCGCAUAAAAAAUUCUCGCUAUAAAAUGUCUGAGUUGAGCGAGAACUGAACUCCUUGUCUGAAACAUGAUAUAGGGAUAAAUUCUUACUCCGAGACUAUCUCAUUUUGUUUUUCGUUUCAAUUAAUUACUAACUCCAUAAAAUCCAGACUUUAAAUCAUCUUCAGUUUUAAAUUUAAAAAUGUCUGUUUGUGUAAUAAGUCAAAAGUCGGCUUAAAGUAAGCAAAAAGCGACAAGUCAAAAGUACUUUUUUCAGUGACAUAAUUUUGUUAAAACUUUGUUUUAGUAAAAGUUGCCCAUAAGUGAUAAAUCACCGAUAAAUCACUUUUAAUUUUAUUAUUACAUUUUUAACAACCACUAAAUCAUUAAUAAAUCAAAAUUAUCUAAAUAGACAUUUUAAGUUCUUUGCUUAUCCUAUUAAAUCACUUAAAUCACGUUAAAUGAUAAAUCAUAGCUUUAAUUUGAGUAAAAUUUGACAACCGAGCUUAUGGAGUUGCAUAGACCCGCAAGCAUGGACCAACUACUUGCGAAGCUUACUUUUCUAAAUGUCGAAAGCAAGGCAAAAACUGACGGUGCACAUCUGCAGAAGACCAUUCGGAUAACAAGAAUGAAGGGAACUGUGGUGUGGAGCUUAAUUCACCUGUAACAUCACUACCAGCUGACCAGAACUUCACAUACUACACAUUGUCAUAUCCGUCCAAAGACUUGCGUGUUUGAAUAACAUUUCAUUUUUGGAGUGUAUUGCUGAGCUUUCCGAUUUGUUAUGCUACCUUAGAAAGCAAUUUUGAGGUGAGUAUUGAGAUUGUGGUGGCUAAUGCUGAGAAUUUUCGUACUUGAUUGGUAUUUGAAAAGUCUUAUAUAUAGAGCAAUGCACUGAGGAAUAAGGAUAUACAGUAAGAAUAUAAGCUGAUGAUAUCAAAAUAAAUAAAAACAACAAUGCACAUCUUUGUUGUUCUUCUUGUUUUUGUAUUGUUGCACCUUACUAAUGCGGAAAUCAUCACAAAGCAUGGAUGUCCAAGUAAAUGUGGAGACGUGACGGUACCCUAUCCAUUUGGCAUUGAAGGUUAUAACUGUUCCAUAAACCCCGCGUUUGAUAUUAUAUGCAACCAUUCCACUAAUCCUCCCAAAGCCUUCCUCCCAGGAAAUAAUAGUGAUGUUGAGGUUUAUCACAUAUCCAUCAACAGCACCGAGUUACGGGUUCCAAAUUUUAAUUUAUCCAAGUGCCCUCCUUCUGGUAACAAAGUCGAUUCCCCUAUUAUUUGGGACUUUAAUUUGGAGGGAACUCCAUAUAUGUAUUCCAACUCAAAUGUGGUGACAGACUGACAGUUGUUGGUUGCAAUUAUUCUGCGCUAAUCAGCCCAAUUAGCGAUCCCUCGGUUACAGGAUGCAUUACCACGUGUGAAGACACUGACCAAGUCCGCAAAGAUGAGUGCUCUGUAGGCAGUGGCUGUUGUCAAGUACCCUUUAGUGAUCAGCAGAAGAACUUCCAAUUUCAACUUGAUAUCUAUAAUAAUGGAAGUACAGGUUGUGCGCAUCGUUUUUCAGUAAGAAAGAAAGAUUCGAAUUUAGAGGUAAAUCAGAUCUUGACGAUUUAACCUUCCAGAAGAGGAAUUUGGCGGCUCCUGUAAUACUGGACUGGGUUAUUGGGAAUACAAAUUGCAAAGAAGCAGCUGAGAACCAGAGUUCUUAUGCUUGCAAAGACGAAAAUAGUGACUGCUUCAAUGCAACGGGGUCGAGUGGAUAUCUUUGCAGGUGCAAACAAGGUUUCAGGGGCAAUCCAUAUCUCAGUUCAGGAUGUGAAGGUAUUUAACUAAAACAGAGAUCUUCCUCUUGUUGUAGGACCAGGUAAUAAUUGUACUAUUUAAUUAAUUUAAUGUGACCGGGUGUUUCCAUUUUGCAAGAUAUCGAUGAAUGCAAAUCCAGAAGAUAAUCGAUGCCAACAAAGAUGCAAUAAUACUCCCGGGAACUAUAUCUGUUCUUGCGAAGAUGAUUUCUUUCUUUUUGAAGAUUAUAAAUGCAUUGUUCUAGGCUCCACCUCCCAAGGCUCCAACUCCCAAUUGAUCAAGGUUUUAAUAGGUAAACUUAUGAUCACUAUUUUUUCUACCAACAAAACCAUAUAUCUAGAUUAUUAUAUCUGAUCCUUGCGUUUAUAAUGCAGGAACAGGAUUUGGGUGCCUCUCCUUAAUCAUAUUAAUGAAUUGGCUGUGUUGCAUCAUGAGGAAAAGAAAACAUAUGAAGCUAAAAGAGAAAUUCUUCCAGCAGAAUGGUGGUCUACUGUUAGAACAACAUAAUAUCGGGGAGGGUGGUUCUAUUGAUUCCACAAAACAUUACACCGAUGAAGAGCUAAAAAAAGCAACCAACAACUACGCGGCUGAUAGGAUUCUUGGACAAGGUGGUUAUGGUGUAGUUUACAAAGGAAUCUUACCUGAUGAUCGUGUAGUUGCAAUCAAGAAGUCUAAAGUAGUGGACAAGAGUCAAAUAGAGCAAUUUAUCAACGAGGUGCUGAUUCUUACACAAGUUAACCAUAGAAAUGUGGUCAAACUGUUGGGAUGUUGUUUAGAGUGUGAGGUACCAUUGUUGUUAUAUGAAUUUGUAUCCAAUGGUACCUUAUACCAUCAUGUCCACAACAUUAGUGGAGGCAUGUCAUGGCUGUCUUGGGAGGAUCGGUUGAGAAUUGCUGCUGAAUCUUCCGGUGCUCUUGCAUAUCUUCACUCUGCAGCCUCUAUACCCAUCAUCCAUAGAGAUGUAAAGUUGGCUAAUAUUUUAGUGGAUGAUCAUCAUGUUGCCAAAAUUUCAGAUUUUGGAGCGUCCAGGUUGAUACCCAUGGAUCAAACUCAAGUGACCACCUUAGUUCAAGGAACUAUAGGGUACUUAGACCCCGAAUACUUCCAUACAGGCAACUGACUAACAAAAGUGAUGUUUAUAGUUUUGGAAUUGUCCUGGCAGAGCUCUUAACAGGAAGGAAACCAAUCAGCAUGGACAAUCCUGAGAAUGAAAGAAAUCUAGCCACAUAUUUCAUAACCUCCAUGAAUGAAAACCGAUUAUUCCAAAUUCUAGAGCCUCGGGUAUUAAGGGAAGGGACAUCGGACCAGUUUCAAAAGGCUGGUGAACUUGUAAAGAGGUGUCUUGACCUUAAUGGUGAGAAAAGGCCAACAAUGAAGGAAGUGGCAAUGGAAUUAGAGAGCUUGAGGAAAUUUACUAAACAUCCUUGGGCUAAUCAGCCUAUCAAUGAAGAGACAACAAGUUUAAUAGCUCAUUCGAGGAUUCAGCAUUCAGACCUCUAUGAAAUUAAGCUAAGCUCUCGUGAUGGGAAUGGUUCUGAAUCUGAACAGUAUAGCUCAAGUACUACUGUUAGUUUGGUGCACCAGCCAACCACCCCUCGUUGAGAUAUAUCUUGAUCUACAUUCAUGAUUUGUUCAUAAAUACAUGAAUGUAUAUCCUAAUAUUUCAUUUCUCUGUUUAGUACCAGUUCAAUACACAAGUUCAUUUUUGUCAAGUCAUGCAUACCAAUUCGAUAAAACGGUUUUCAGUUUUCAUGUUUAUGAUGUAAUUAGCAUACUUUAACAGUCUUUAAACCUUAUUGUAGUAGUUCAAUUAAUAUAGUUGUAGUUGUAUAUAUAUAUAGGAUUCAGCUAAACUUCUCAUCACUACAAGAAAAAUUGUUAAAAAAAACUUCCAACAACACAUCUGUCAAAAAUUCACAAAUAAAUUUCCAACAUUUAUCAUCAAAAAUAUGUAAUCACAUUUUUACAAUAAAGAAUAUGUCAAAAGUUUAUGCAUGUGACAACCAAAAUCGUUGGAAGAACAAACUUUUGACCGCACGAAAGUUACACGAUAUUUGUUGGAAAUUCAUUCUUCUUACCAACCAAUUUUGUAAGAAGAUAAUAUUUCCGACAAAAAUACAAUCACUAGGAAGUUCACAACUUAUGACAAGUUUUAUCUGUCAAAAGUUGGUGUGAACUUCCAACAGAUAGUUUGUAAGAAUUUAUGUUUAAAUUUUUAUUAUUAUUUCAUAGAAAUUCAUUUAAAUAUAAAUAAAUUAUAUUCCUGACAACAAUGUACGUCAGAUGUUAAGUUUAAUACUAUAAUAUCCUUGAAGUAGGCUCUACGUUUAUUUUCCGACAAAACUGAAACUUCCAAUGAAUUUCAGAACUUUGGAGUACAAGUUUUCCAACAAAGGUAUUCUGUCGGAAGAAGGCAUUCUUCUGACGGAAUACAGGCUAAAAUGUCUGUCGGAAAUACAUGUAUUUGGUGUAGUGUGCUCAGAUAUUAGAUUCAGUUGUUUUUAGGUAUAUAUGCCUUAUAUGUGAAGAAUGGACACAUUGUAGAAAUAUUUGCUUUAAAAUUGAGCUGGAGCUUUGUAAUACAAUUGCUCCUGGUUUCACAGGGUUCAGGAUAUCUAUCUAUGCUUUUAGACUACUUCCCAGUUAUAUGAAGUUGCUGGGCAACUUACAUUCCACAGGAGCACACAUACGUUACAUAUGCAUAUGAAGUUGCCAAAUCAAGUCAUCAUUGUGCCUCGUGUUUCAUUUCAGUGCAUUGACCGUCAUCGAUAAAUCUUUUUUCUUCUGUUUAAACUGACAAUUUCGGCUACAUAAAUGCAGAGGAGAAUUCAGCACACAAUGGAACACAAAAUGAGAGCUCAAGACAUCAUUUUUGUCAAAAAAUGGUAUAAAUUUCAACCAACGGAUAUGUCAAUCUAGAGCUGCAAUGGUUACAAUGAGAGAUUAUUGAGUACUUUCUACAUGUGAUCAGUAUCACUUUAAGUAAUUGUUUAAAUCAGGUUUUCUUUUAUUUUUAUGCACAGUUCUAGAAAAAAACUGGAGACUCACACAGAUUGUUAUGCUAGUUUCUUUAUGAGCGUCAUUAAUCAGAGCGAGCUCUGAUACCAUAUUGAGAACGAGAACUGAACCUGGACACAAGACAAGGACUAUGGGGGCAGCAAGAACCAGAGACUUUGGCAUUGACGCGACAUGAAGACCAAGACCGCGACGACUUUGAUUGCGAAAUGAAGUCUACUUUAAACACUGAGAACAACAAUUAAUGGUUCUUCCUUUCCUAAAGUUUAUAAAGUACUCUGAUAAAUACACAAAAUGUUGUAUCAAGUACUUGUCUUUGAAUGAUCAAGCCUUCAUUCGUUUCAUGGCGUGCUCCAACAAAUAUCUUCAAAUAGUUCCUCCAAUAAUGUGGACAUAAUUUCUGCGAUAGUGUCCAAACUUUAGGGACUUUAUAAAUAGCUUUUCAUCACUAUACAGUGUGAAUAGCUUUUCCAUUAUGUCAUCUUUAUUAAAUACUGGUGCUCGUUCAUUCUCGAAGUACCUCCUUUUUUCUAAAACUUCUUUUAGCACUUCAGUUGUCCUGAAAAAGUCUUACAACUAAAACGUGCAAGUGGGGGCGGACAAUUCUGGCUGUGAUAAAGAAAUGCAAGAGACUAGUAGCCUGUUCUGGGCUUAAAACCUCGAAAAUGUCUGUUGUUUCCGUAAGAAGUGAGAAGCCGGUUUAAAUUAGAAAUAAGCCGAAACAGACUUAAACAGUACACAAGUUCGUUUGAGGUAUUUUUUUCGUGUGACUUAAAUUUUUUUGAACCAUUUUUUAUUAUAAUAAUUAAGGUAAAUCAUAAGUUACCCAUAACUCACAUUUAUUUUUAUUAUUAUAUUUUUACUAACUCAUAAGUCAAUAAUAAGUCAUAAUUAUUCAAACAUACGUUUUAAACCGACAGCUAUCGUAUAUUUGUUAAAUUCUGUUGUUUUAUAUUUUUCAAAUUAAAUUAUUUAAAUUUCAAAUUAUUAUUAAUUAGAUAAUCAAUAUAACUAAGUUACAAGAAAAUUAUUUUAUUAAAAUUUAUUGAUAUAAAGAAAUUCAAGAAAGGAGGACAUACACAUUACAAACUUAUUAAUUUUUUUAUAAUUCUAAUUAUUUCCUAAAAUAUUUAUAUAAUUAUUAUCAGUAACUAAGAACAAUUGUAUACCGUGGAAAAAAAAAAAGGAACAAUUGUAUACAAUUUUUUUAUAUGAUUUGCAAUCAAAUACAACCUAAAAUAAUUUAUUUCGAAAACAAUAGGGUUUCUUUUUAAUUGAAUUCACUAAAAAACAGGUGAAUGCCCAAUACAACCUUUUUACAUCAACUGCUACCCAAAAUGACUAGAGCAGGAAAAGUGACCAAAAUGACGAGAGAAAAUCGCAUUCAGAGAAUGCGUAUACUGUUUUCGCAUUCCUUGGAUGCGCAUGCUCUGACUGAUUUGAUACACACGCAUUAGCACUAUGCGAGGCAACGCUAAACUUCAUAUUUUUUUUAAAUUAGUUACACAUUUCUAGGAUGUGUGCUAAGUAUAUACGCAUUGUCAAAAUGCGCAUACUUGUCUUACAUAUCACAAAACACACCCCGGACACAAUAAGUGAACCCGAACCCAGGAGCACUUCAUGAAUGACGUCGCCACCGACCUUCUGUCAGAGAUCCCGUGCUAAUUACAAGUUCUCAAAACACUGACUAAACCCUAGUUUAGUAACAUAUAAAUAAUACUCCCUCUGUCCCAUUUAAUUCUAUACGUUUCUUUUUAACUGUUCGACACGCAUUUCAAUACUCUUAUAAAAUAUAGUUCCGUAACUUAUUUUUGAGAUUUUCUUUUUCUGUAUAAAAAUAUAACAUCUAAACUUUAAUUCAGAAAAGAAAAAUUUUAAAAAUAAAUUGCACAACUACACUUUGCAGGAGCAUUAAAGUCCGUGCCGCUUCCCCGUCCCCCAAUGUAUACAACUCAGGCAUUAAAAUAAUAAUACAUGCGGACUUGCAGUGUGUAGGUGAUGAAAGAAGAAAAAAAAAAAGUGAUGUGUGAUGUGUCUCGUAUGUAUAAUAAAAAGAAAGAGAGAUGGGAUGGGGAUGCAUAUACUUCAAAGAAGGAUACACGAUGUACUUGGGUAGUAGUUGGGUUUGAUAUUGUACACGCAUUCGUCGAAUGCGAAGAUGAAUGGUUAAAAAGGGCAACAACCCCGACAUUAGUUAUUUCGGGCAUAGAGUACAUGAAUAUUAGUUAUUUAGGUUAUUAUCUCCUAAAAAACAAGAUAAAACUAACACCCCAAAAUGAUCGGUUACGUCCAUAAAUGAUCAGUAAUAUACCUAAAACCGACCAUAUACGAUGGUCGAUUUAGGCACAUUGGUAAUGUUUAAUGUAUAAAACCAACCAUCUCAGUCUCAAUUUUAACUGGUGCAAAAAACUUGCACAAGCAGGGCCUACACUGACAGCUAGUGCCACUUGGAUGCAAGUGCCACGUAUGCACAUAUAACUGAUAGGAUGGGUGGUCGGUUAAAAUGUUUGACCGGUAAUGAUUAGAUGUUUUCGGAGUAGAGUAAACCCGAUCGAGCCGGGGUGGGGUUUAUUCUAGAUAAGCUAUGGCCUAUUAGAACCAACCAACUGUAACCGACCAACGGAGGUGGUUGGUUAAGUCUCCUUGGUCGGUUUUAUAACGGAAGCGGCUGGAGUUUUUAAAAUCUGACCAACCAUAACUGACCGGCUCUUUUGAAGACGUUCGGUUUUAUGCGAUGUGAAAUGGUAAGGCCAGUCGGUUAUGACAAAGUCAGUCGGUUUUCUAGCUUGUGGAAUGGUAAUCAUGAUCGGUUAUGAUUUUUCGGGUGGAUUUUCUAGGAUGUGGAAUGGUAUACACAGUUGGUUAUGGGAUGUGGAAUAGUAUAUCAAUAAAUCACUUUUAUUUUUACUAUUAUGUCAUUAAUAAAUCGAAAUUGUCAAAACAGACAUUUUAAGUUUGGAGCUAUCUAAGCCCCUCUUAACUCAACCAACAAACUCACUGGACUCUAAGCCCCUCUUAAAAUAAUUUUUGAAAUUACUUUGAAAUAUUAUAACAAGUCAUAAACUUUAAAAAUAAAGUUGUCUGAGUAACUAAUAUAUUUAUAAUAUAUACUCAGAUAAAUUAUCCAUCAAAUUUAUUUUUAUUAUUACGUUUUCAAUAAUUUCAGUCAUUUAUAAUAUAAAAUUAUUAAAACGGAUAUAUUAAACACUUAAAGUUAAGGGGAGAAAAAACUGUGAAAUAUAAGAUGGUGGCAGAGACAAGGCAGAUCCUUCUUCCUCUGAGAACAGAUGGGCAGGAGAACCCUAGAAGAAGUGGGAACAGUAAAUAUGAACUUGAGGGGCAGUGAGGUUGCUACUCUCACAUAUUGAUAUAGGAAAUUACAUGUUAUGGCAUCAUGAUUUUACUAUAAACUUCAACACUUAAUAGUAGUUGUUAAUAUGUAAUGUUUUUAUUGUGUAGUAUUAAUAGAGUCUGAACUGAUGGCAAUUGUAAAAGGACAGAACCCUCUGUUGGUGUUUAACGUUGUAUUUGAAACAACACUGCGUCCACUACUUGGUGUCUUAUUUCAGUAUGACUGGUUUGUUAUUUUCUAACACAGGAUAAAUCUGACAUGAAUUAUGAAUGGCUAUUAGUUCGCUUCAGUUUUGUUCUAUAACGCGCUUAGAUGAAAUGACCUUGAAGUUUACAACCUUCAAAGGUAGUAACAUGUAAGGAUGCGUUCACUAGGAUGGAAUGGAAUGAGGGGGAAAUGGAAUGAAAAUAUAUAAAAAAAAAGUUUUAUGGAGAAAGAAGAAAGUAUGAGACAAUAAUGAUUAAAAAUGAGUGAGUUAAAACUUUUCAUGAAGAAGAUGAUAGGGAAACAUGAUGAACAAGUGGAAUGAAAAUUCCUUUCAUAACAUGUGGGUUAUAAUGUAGUUCAAAUAGUUAGAAUGGAUUGAUUGAAUGAAUGAAAAUUAUAAACAAUUUCUCUAAUUACCCCCAAUUUAUAUUAAAAUACCAUUCGAUUCUCCCCUCAUUCCUUUCCAUCCAAAUGAACACAGUCUAGGAGUAUGAUUUUAACUAUACCAUAUUAUGCGAACAGUGAGUUUCGUUUGCUGUUGAAAAGUCUUGUAUAGCUAUAAAGAUUAAGCGUGUGGGCACACAAGUCAUUCAUGCUUUAAAAACAGAGCUAUAUGUGCAGUCGGGAAUCGAAUAUACACACCAAGAAAAUACAUUUCCGCUAUCGAAAAGCUAAACACAAAAAUGCACUUUGGUCUUUUUUUCCUUGUUGUUCUACUGCAUUUUUCCUGGGGGUUAAAACAGCUAGAGUCGACCACUCUAAGUUUUAAUACCGCCGACGCUAAUCACAGUAUUCUGAUGGCUGAAAACAUUACAAUUGACCCAAAAUGUCAGAGUAAAUGCGGAAACCUUAGGGUACCAUAUCCGUUUGGAAUCGUAUCAAAGGGUCGCAACUGUUCUAUAGACCCCUCUUUUGAUAUUACGUGCAAUGAUUCUUUCAAUCCUCCCAAGGCCAUUAUACCAACUACUAAUAUUCAGGUGUAUGAUAUAUCCAACACUGAAUUAAGAGUAUCUACUUCUGUUUCUUAUAGGUGCUAUAAUCAGUCCGGCGCGGUUUUAACUAAGGAAUCACAGAAAGUUAGUUUAGCGGCAACUUCAUUCCUGUGUUCUGCCGCAAAUGUGUUUACAGUUGUUGGCUGUGAUGACUUUGCCAGCAUUUACAGAGAUCCAUCUUCCAUUUCACGUAAAGGAUGCAUGACAACAUGCGACAACGCUGAGGACGUCGAUAAAGACGAGUGCUUGGGCAAUGGCUGUUGUCAAACACCCGUCAAUCUUGAGAAGUUUUUCUCCUUCGGUCUUUCAAGCGAUUUUAACCAUAAAUAUAACGUCUCAUCAUUUAACCCCUGCGGUUAUGCAUUUUUGGGUGAGAAAGAUAAAUUCAAGUUUCGAGGUACAUCAGAUCUUAUUGAUCCAGCUUUCCUGGACAGGACUAAGGCUAAUGUUCCUAUAGUACUAGACUGGAUUAUUGGGGAUAAAAAUUGCACUGAAGCACGUAAAGACCCAGCUUCGUAUGCUUGCAAACAUGAAAAUACCGACUGUAUAAAUGGUAAUCAGUCUGGUGGAUAUCGCUGCAGUUGCAAAGAAGGUUAUCAGGGUAAUCCAUAUAUCAGUCCAGGAUGCCAAGGUAAUUAAUUUAACUGCAUUUAGAUGGUUAUUCUAAUUUUGAAUAUUUGGAGUAUCUAAUGAGCUGAUUUAAUCAAAUUUAAUUGUUUAAUUGUAAGAUAUAAAUGAAUGUGAACAACAUACACAUGGUUGCCAACAACACUGCAAUAAUACUCAGGGGAGUUUUAAUUGCUACUGCAACUCCGGGGACUCUAUUGAUGUUGAUGGCAAAAACUGCACUGCUAAUGCUAAUGGCUCGAACUCCCACGGGAUCAAGUUGGUAUUAGGUAAUUUAGUUCUCAGCAAUGAUCCAUACAUAUGCAUAUAAUGUACUAGGCUUAAUGCCCUUUUAACCCUUUUUGGGGGGUUGUAUCGAUGUUGCCUCAAAAUUUAACUCGGCCGAUUCAACCCUUCAAAUAUCCGAUAUGUUCACAUUAGUCCUUAUAACCGGGAUGAAGCCAAAAAAUGGUAUAUAACGAAGGGUAAAUUUGACAAUUAUUAUUGAAGAUAAAGUUCUCGUUCCUUUAACCCCGAAGAAUACAUAGAUGUUCUUUUUAACCCCUAAAGAAUACAUUGAAAUUCAUUACAUGUUCCUUUUAACCCUCAAUGUCUAAUGUCUUUUUUACCUUCACGAGUGUGUGAAAUGUCAUGAUUGUUCAUCCGUUAUAUAACGUUUUUUGGUAUGAGCUAGGGGUAAUCGGAACAUAUUGAAUACUUGGAGGUUUCAAUCGGCCGAGUUAAAACAUUGAGGCCGUAUCGGUAUACACCCCCAAACAUUAAUGAGGGUUAAAAGAGCAUUUAACCAAUGUACUAAUAUAAAUAAUUAUUUGAGAUACGGGUCCAUCAUGCAGGUUUGGUAAUAUGUUGCCUUUUAGUAAUCAUUGGAAUGAACUGGCUGUACUGCAUCAUGAAGCAGAGAAAGCAUUCCCAAUUAAGAGAGAAAUUCUUUGAGCAGAACGGGGGCUUCAUCUUAAGACAGCAAAGUAUCUCUGGGGGAGGCAGUGUUGAGUCUACAAAACAUUUCACUUAUGAAGAAUUGAAGAAAGCGACCAACAACUAUGCUGCUGAUAGAAUAGUUGGCCAGGGUGGUUAUGGUAUAGUCUACAAAGGAAUUUUACCAGAUCAACGUAUAGUUGCAGUCAAACGAUCUAGAGUAUUGGAUACGAGUCAAAUAGAUCAAUUUAUUAACGAGGUCGUGAUUCUUGCACAAGUUAACCAUAGAAAUGUGGUCAAACUUCUAGGAUGUUGUUUAGAAUGUGAGGUACCUUUGUUGGUAUAUGAGUUUGUAUCGAAUGGCACUUUAUUUCAUCAUGUCCAUAGUACUCAUGGAGGCUUGUCAUGGUUAUCUUUGGACAAUCGUUUGAGAGUUGCUGCUGAAUCUGCUGGUGCCCUUGCGUAUCUUCAUUCAGAAGCUUCUAUGCCCAUUAUGCAUAGAGAUAUCAAAUUAGCCAACAUAUUACUCGACGAGAACUAUGUUGCCAAAAUAUCAGAUUUUGGAGCCUCGAGGUUGGUACCCAUGGAUCAAACUAAAGUGAUUACAUUAGUCCAAGGAACUUUAGGCUACUUGGACCCUGAAUACUUCCAUACAGGGGAACUAACCGACAAAAGUGACGUUUAUAGUUUUGGAGUGGUCCUUGCAGAGCUCUUAACCGGAAGAAAACCAAUUUGCCUGCAAAAUUCUGUCGAAGAGGAAAAAAAUUUGGCUACAUAUUUCAUUACCUCCAUCAAGGAGGACAGAUUGUUUCAAGUUUUAGAUCGUCGAGUAGUGAGAGAAGGAACGAGGGAUCAACUUCAAAACGCUGCCCAACUUGUGAAGAGGUGCCUUAACCUUAAUGGUGAGGAAAGACCAGCAAUGAAGGAAGUGGCCAUGGAAAUAGAGAACCUCAGGAAAUUCACUAAACAUCCUUGGGCUAAUCAACAUGGCACUGAAAAAACCACAAGCUUGAUAGUUCAUACAGAGAUUCAGCAUUCAGACCUCUAUGAAAUUCAGCUAAGUUCUCAUAUUGGGAAUAACUCCGAACAGUAUAGCUCAAGUACUGUGAGUUUGGUACAUGAGGCAACCAGCCCUCGUUGAGAUAUAUCUUCAACUCCAUGAGUUGUGUAAUUAUAUAUAUUCAUAAUUAAAUACAUGCAUGUGUACUACUGCUACUGGUCAGUAGCUUCGGUUGUUGAGCCUCGUGCAAUUAGUUAGGUUGUGGUCUUCCUGUGUUGUUCCAAGUCGGUCGUACUCUCUCCAUUUCAAAAUGUACGACGUUUUGAUUUUUUGCACGUAGUUUAAAAUUUUUUGACCAUGUACUUAUAUUUAUUAUUUUUAAAUUUUUUUUUAGAUAAAAGUAUAUAGUCAGAAUUUUAAAGUAUAAAUUUUUUUUAAAAAGAAAUUAUGAUUCUAGGUGCUUGGUCAAAACACUUUGAUAUGUGUCUAAAAAGUCAAAGCGUCAUACAUUUUGAAACGGAGGGAGUAUACAUUUUGAAACGGAGGGAGUAAUAGAAUAAGUAAGCGAAGCAGACGAUAACAGUCUGUUCUCUUGUAUCCUAAUAUUCAUUUCUGAGCUUAGUUACCACUUACCAGUUUGUUACACGGUUCAACUUUAUAACUCAUGCAUGCGUGAUGCGUAUUCCAUAAAAAGGUUUUAAAAGUUUUUGAAAGAAAAAUUAAUUAUUAUUAAAGCAAGUCAUCCAAGACUACUGAUGCAACAAUAAUAUAGGAUAGAUUAUCCUCACUGAAACUACAGUCAGAUCCCCACUGAAACUACAGUCAGCCCUCCAAUAGAGAAGCUCGCGCCAAAGAGUGCGCAACCUUAUACUAAUUAGUAGACCAUUUUACAAAAUGCAAAGAAAAAGAAUCAAAAAUCAGACAUCAAAGCCUUACACUUUAAAAGAAGAGUAAAAUGCAGGAUGUGUACCUCUAGUUAUACACUUAUGCAUUUUGUGUACCUAUGAUUUCCAAUCUAGCAAAGUGUCUACCUCCAGUUUUAAAAUUCUAGCACUAUGUGUAGUUCCGUUAGAAAUCAUUUAAUGGAGUUAGUAUUGCAGGGGCAGUGGUGGUAAUUGUGAUAAAGGUCUGCGUCACUGUGUGUAUGUACUGCAUAAGUUCAGCUUGUUUUUGUUUCGAAGGGACCCGAACUGUCUAACCAUGAGGGCUCCUUUUCAUUUUCUGAUGCAGUUAAGUACUCCAUAAAUUAUUUACGAUUUUCUAAUAUUAUUUGAUAUGAUUUUAAUAGGUAUAUAUAAUAUAAUUUAAUAAUUUAUUUAUAAUUUUUUUUAUAAAUGUUUAAACAUUAAAUUUUUAUUCAAAUUAUUUUUAAAUAAUUUAUAAAAUUAUACUGUGUUGGUGUAUUAAAAUGUAUAUCAUCCCCGACCUUGGGGAGAAGACUCUUACCGCUCUAUCUGAGUUGUAUACAUCGAAAAACGAGACAUGGGAUACAUUUUAAUGUUAUUGAAAAAUAUAAUUCUAUAACUUAUUUUUUAUAUUUAAAUUUUAUUAAGAAAAAAAAUUUAACAUAAUUCGUAGAACUAUAUGUUAGAGAAGCAUUAAAAUACAGUGGCCUAAGUUGACAAUAAAUUAUAGUUUAAAUAUAUUCUUCUUUAUUACAUAUAUAUAUAAUUAGUAAAUUAUUAUAUUCAAUUAAAAGAUUUUUUUUGCAAAUUUUCUCAUGAAUAUAAUAUGUAUUUAUAUACAUUAUUAUCAUGUAUUUUAUAGAAAAAUUAAUAUUUGUAAUUCCUUUCUUUAUGAAAUAAAUAUUUGUAAUUAUAAAUUGGGAUACACAAAUAUAAGAUAUAUAAUUACUACUCACUAUGACCCCCUAAUUGCUUAUCUUGGGAGACAGGAUUUAACACGAAUUUUAAAACUCCUAUAAAAAGUAGAUUCAUAAUUUAUGUUAUACUAUUUUUUGUGUUUAAUUAAAUAAUUUUGAAAAAUUGUUUCAUAAAUAUAAUAGGUAUUUAUAUAAAUUAUUAUAAUAUAUUUUAUAGAAAACAAAUAUUUUAAAUUUUUUCAUGAAAUAAAUAUUUGUAAUUAGGAAUUGGGAUCCAAAAAUAUAAUAUGUAUAAUUAAUUACUAUUCUCUUUGUUCCCCUAAUUAUUUAUAUUGGGAGAUAGGUUAAGUACGUAUUUAUAAAUUUUUAAAAAAUAUAAUUUAAUAAAUUGUGUUUAAAAUUAAUUCCAAACAAAAAUUUAAUUUUGAAUAUUUAUAGAAAAAGAAAUCUUGAUUUUGUUUUUCCUUGGUUGAGAGAGCAGAGCAGAAGCAGUGUAUACGCACAUGGAUAGCUGUUGGUCAUGUAAUUACCAUCCCUGCCCUUGCACAACUAACUCCGGUAAUUGCUUUUUAACAGAAAUACACGCAAUGCAAGAAUAAGGGUUAAAUGGCGUUUUGGUCACUCAACUGACCGGAAACUUGCAAUUGGGUCAUCCAACUCAAAAAGCUGUCAGUCACAUCAUUAUACUCUUAAAAAUUUUCAUUCAGGUCACUGGCCGUUACACUCCGUUAAAUAUUUGACGGAAAGCUGACUAAGCGUCGUGACUGGGCUUAAAUAAAUCCACCAUGGCAUGUACAGUCGACUGAAGUGGCAUUUUGGUCACUCAACUGACUACAAACUUGCAAUUGGGUCAUCAAACUCAAAAAAUUUUCAUUUAGGUCACUUAUCAUAAUAUCCGUUAAAAAUUGAAAAAAGAAAGAAUUAAAAGCUAUCAUGCAACACCUUUUUUCCAUCUUAAAAUUUUUUAAACUUAUUAACAAAUGAAACAAAUACACAAACAUAAAAUCAGUAGUUUCACCCACAAAAACUUAAUAUUUAUUUAUCUUUUAUCGUUUUAUAUAUCUUAAGGCCAUUUUUUAAAAAACUUCAUACUUAUAAAUUUAUUGUCACUUUAAAAUAUUUUUUGGUCAUCGUGAAAAAGUCCAUAAAAAAUUUAACGAGUUUUUUCAAGAUGACCUCAAGAUAUAUACAAUGAUGAGAUAAACCAAGAUUUGUUAAUAAGUUUCGAAAUUUUCAAGAGAGAAAAAAAAGUGUUGCAUGAUAGCUUUUAAUUAUUAUUUUCUCAAUUUUUAAUGGAUAUGAUGAUAAGUGACCUAAAUGAAAGUUUUUUGAGUUUGAUGACCCGAUUGCAAGUUUUUAGUCAGUUGAGUGACGAAAUCGCCACUUCAGCUGACUGUACAUGCCACGGUGGAUUUUUUUUAAGCCAAGUCAUGACGCUUGGUCAGCUUUCCGUCAAAUAUUUAACGGAGUGUAACGGUCAGUGACCUGAAUGAAAAUUUUUAAGAGUAUAAUGAUGUGACUGACAGCUUUUUGAGUUGGAUGACCCAAUUGCAAGUUUCCGAUCAGUUGAGUGACUAAAACGCCAUUUAACCCGCAAGAAUUUUGAUGUUGGAGGUACACACUUUGCUAGUUUGAGAAAAUGAGGUACACAAGGUGCACAAGGGUGUAAGUAUAGGUACACACCAUUUUACUCUUAUAAGAACACAACAAUAUAACUUCUGUUGAACACAUGUUUAAAUAAAUAUUUUAAAUUUAUUAUUUAUUAAUUAUAUUAUAUUUAUUAUUUUAUUAUAUUAUCAUCGUUUUAAUGUACUUAUUUAAUUAUUAUUAUUUAGAUAUAGAAUCUUCUAUGUAUAAACAUUUUGUCCUAUCUUAAAUUUUGAUUUUUUUCUAAAAAGUUUAUUUUCAAAUACAUGCAUAAUGUGCCCGUUUGGGAACACAAAAUAAGCUCAUUCUUUUCAUAACAAGCCAGCUUGCUUUUCUUCAUCCGUUUGUGUAAAGAGUCAAGAAGCACUUAUAAAAAAUAGGAAUGCUAGCUUUUGUUUCAGGACUUCUACUUCUUUACCAAACACUUUAAUAACUUAUAAAUCUUAAUUUACUUUUCACUUUUAAUCCACUUAUUUUUUUAAACAAGAAGUCACUUCUUUUAAGCUCACCCAAAUGACCCCAAUAUCAAUUUACCUCAUAAUGAUAUGUUUUAUUUUAGUAAAAUCAUUACGUCGUUUUAUGAUUUUCAAAGUGAUGGAAAUAAAAUAUUCAGCCAAUAAAUAUAAGUUGUUUAGCAGGAUUUUUAAUCUUUUAUAAAAUGAAAAUUUUAACUCACAAUCUUAGAGAUGUAAUCUCUUAGAGCAUCUCCAACCAUAACAAACCCUCAACUAAAAUGUGAGUUGGCAUAUCAAAAUUAAAAAAUAUAGCCAACAAGGUGAAAAAAUGUCACUCCAACCACAAUCAUCCAUUGUCUAUAAUUUUAGUCAACCUCUUUUGGAUGACUAUAUUUGUCGAAGAUCUACAGCCCUGUAAGAAAUCUGUAACAAUAUUAUACAUCAUUUAUUACCAUACUGAACUGAUAUAUUUUAUUUUAACAAUCUAAAAUAUUAAUAAUAUACUAUUUUAAAUUAUAACCAACCAAUAUAGUCAAUACAUUGAAGCACAAGGUUCAAAAAAUUAAUAUAAUAUUUUAUCGGUCUAAUUUAACCAACGUCAUUGGAGAUGCUCUUAGACGUCUAAUAUGUAAUUGUUACUUGUAACACUAGUUGUUGGCAGUUGUUUCAAUAGUUAUUGACAAAUUAAUAUAAAAGUCUAAUGGAGCUUUCAAGUUAUAUAACUCAAAUCCAAAAUUAAUUUGUUAUCAAUUGUUUUAACAAUGUCUUGUGUUUCGGUCUUUUUACUAUAAUUAAUGUGGAUUGGCUAAUAAUAUCAAUGUAGACUCCUUAGUUAUUUGAAAACUUAAAAGUGAUAGAAUUUUUUUAAAUUGCUUUGUAAAUUAUAAAUUGUUUUUUUAAAAAAUUAAAAUGAAUUAUUGUACUGGCGAUAUAAUUUUGUUGGUGGUAUAAGCGUUACAAUACAAAAUUAUAGCCAAUAUAGAAGUCUAGGUUUGAAGUUAAAUAACUUCAAUUCAAAACAAAUAUGUUAUCAAAUUCUUUUGACUAUGUUGGGUUGUUUUGUAACUACCUAUGAAACAAAGGUGGUCGUAGAAAGGGUUGAAUACAACCCAAGAUUUUGAUCAAUAUUUCAGAUAAACAGUUGAAAUUAGAAAUUUUAAACAAUUGAUAUUUUUAUAAAUACACAGGUGCAGAUUCUUUUAGCAUUUGUGUGUUUAAGAACUUUCUCAAAUGCUAGUGUUGUCUCACAUACACAAAGUACUGCUACUACUUGGUUAUAUACUCCAAGUUUACAAAGCAAAUUAAACUACAAAAUGACACACUUUUUUACGCUCAGAAUGCUUUGCUUCUUCAUUUAAGAUAUUCAAGUUUACACUUUUCACCAAAAGACUCCUUAUUUAUUUGUUGUCUUGUUUACGGAAAGUUCAAACAAAGGUUCCAUAUAGUGUUUGUGUGACUUGGAAGCUAAUAUACAAAUAUUUUUGUUAGCAUCGUAAUGACCUUAUAGAAAAGCCUCUAACUAAUAAAAUGUGUGUGACUGAAUGUAUUUUAAGAAAAUAAACAUACAUAUUCACAUAGUCAUAAGUUUUUCUUGCAUUAGAUUCACAAAUUCAAAUUAGAUCUAGAUGGCAAUGUUUUGUAAGUAAUAGGUAAAAAUAGAAGCAAGAAUACACUACAAGAAAAUGGGUUAAAAGCGACCAUCAAAAUUUGGUGGCUUUUAACUAAAAGCGACCGUAUGUGGUAGCUUUUAAUUAAAAGCGACCGCAAAGAGUUGGUAGCUUUGAAGAGGGUCGCUUUUACUUAUUCCGGUCGCUUUUAUAUAAAAGCCACCGCUUUUACGGUCGCUUUUGUUAAAAAUUAAAUUUCUUUAUACCACUUCAAAUUUUUGACCAAAAUUUGAAUUUCCCGCCCUUGCAAAAUAAAAGCCACCAACAUUGGUGGAAUCUGAAAAGCAACCAUAUUUCUCUUCGGUCGCUUUUGUAUGGCUAUUUCUCAAAAAAAAAAAACAGACCUUUUUUACUGCUACCCCCUGUUUAUUGCACAACUCAAUAGACCAUUCAACCAUUCAAAUACUCAACACUAUCUAAUUACUGGGGAAGGGGUGUGAACAAAAUACAAAUUAAUAACAUACACAGAAUCUUUCAUAGAUCCGUUUAAAAUUCCCGAUAAUACACAUAAUAGUUAAGUUCUGAUCUUUGUUCCGGUUACAAUACCAUAUCAUGUACCAAAAUAUUAUAUUAGCAGCCUACACAUACUGCCACUACUGCCAAAAACUAUAUCAUAAAUAGACUAUUUAACUAAAGAUAAAGGGGACAGUGAUUUAAAUUCCUGUCAUCGUCAUCGGCCUCUAAAUCAUCCCCGUCCAGUAAGAAAUCAGGUUCAUACAUCGGAAUAUUUGAAUUGUUAUCCUGCACAAACCAAACAUAUAUCAGGAACUACUCAACAUCAAAUUACUAAGGGUAAAAUCUACAAUAAUUGAAUAUAUUGAAAUUAUGAAUACAAAAUUUUAUUUAUCCUAUGUUUCAUCUUUAUAGUGCUGGUAUAGCUUCUCUUGGUUACAUUUUGGGCUGGUUUAGCGUCACUGGUAUAAGAGGGAAGGCUUUGACCUGGUGUAAUUUUCACUUAGGGUUAAUGAUAUUUGCUUUGCAUAAUUCUGUAGGGUCAUGACCAUGGUUAUUAUCUUGAUGUACUAUUAAACAGUUUAUUUAUAAUUGAUCCUGCUUAAGUUAUAAAUUUAUUUUAGUUUGACUAAUUAACUACUGUACUUUAAGUUCUGCAUGCUUGUGCACAUCAAACCCUGGUAUUGCUUGUGAGCUGGUGGGAGUUAGCUAGACAUUUCUUUUGAAGCAAAAAUCUGGGAUUUCUUCAGUACCCAAUUCUUUUCUAUAAAAAUGUAAUCCUAUAUACAAAAAGUACUAGGGUCUGCAACAAACAACUUAAAAGAAUAAAGAUAAGAUAAUCUGCCAUUUCCAGAUUUCUAGUACACCUAAAAAAUUACACCACUGUUUACAUUCAAGUAAAUUGACUACUAUGAACUCAUUUUGUAGGGUUAUGUCUAUGACACAAAUGGAAAGAAAUAUCUUGAUUCUCAAGCUGGUCUCUAGUAUCCAAUUCAUGUUUCUAAUAUCAAACACACCUUCUGGUAUAUAAGUACAACACAGAAGAAUAAUAUUCUGACAUUUCAAAUAAACUUAUAAUAAACACAACCAUAACAAGCCUACAAAAUCCAGAACAAAAUCUACCAUCACAAAUGAUUAUAAAGAAUGAUAUCGAGAACAAAUCAGCAAACUAGAGCAAAUAAAAGAGUCAAAAACAGUAGAAUAAGGCAAAACAGAGUAAAAAACAGGUCAAAAAAGAACAAAAAGCGAAGAGUAGUGAUUGUAGUAAAUUUUGAAUUAAAUGAAUAGAAGAGUUAAAAAAUUAUUACCUCCACUAUAACUUUUUUAAAGUUCUCCAUCACCUGACCAAUGACUUCACGUGCAAUCCGCAUAUAUUGCUCCCAUGAAGAUUGUUGUACCGGAUCAGUCCUAUCAGGAAAAGCCACAGUAGCUAAUUUCUCCAACCUCUCAUUAAGUUGGGAGUGUGGAACUGAAUCCAUGCCAUCCAUGAAGCGGACCAUAGUUGUCACCUCGGUUAAAACCUUACCAAUGAUUGAGUAUGCAGCCUCUGAAAUAUUUGUUGUAGAAGAGUCAGUAGGCUGAGAAGCAUUCAAACGAGCUGCUUCAUCCGCUCCUAAUAAUUUUGAUACAGUUUGUCGAGGAUACAACACAACUGUAUUUUUCUUUGGCUUUCUUGCUUGCAUUAGGAGAUGCAAUUCCCGCUUCCUCUUACUAGCUGGAGAGAGAGGUGCCUCUGGAGCUGGUUGAGAGUUGCUCACAUCCUCCAAAGAUUGCUGCAUUAUAUAAUAUGUAACAAAUAACUCAGUUAUAAUGUGCCUAAAUUAAUGCAAAUUCACAAUGACCUAAUAAAAAUAAUUUGCAACAUACCAUUAUAUUUUUCACUGUUGGCUCUUCAAUGUUGUAGACAUACUUGAAAAAUUCUAGAUUAGUGACAGGAGUCUUCAAUUGUGUAUCCAACUCCUGUAAUAUGCAAUUAUUAUUUAUUAUGCAAAAAACUAUAAAUAUGCAAUUAUUAUUACUCUAUUACCAAAAGAUUAUAAAUAUAACACAUAUUCAGAAUAAAAGUAAACCACUGAAAAAUACAUUCCAAAUAUUAUAUACAGUGCCUUGCAAGACUGUUGCAGCGAGUGUGUGAGGGAAAAAUACAUUCCAAAUAUUAUAUACAGUGCCUUGCUAAACCACUGAUAAAUUAUAGUCAUGUGUCCAACUUCAUAUCCAUAUCCAAUAAUCUUAAAUAAUUUUAAACUAAAAAUCUGACCCUUGUAUGUAUCCAUGCUCGUGUUCGGAAAACAUAUCCACAUUAACGAGCUGUGCCAUAGAAUGUAGAUUUACCACCAUACUUGAGUUGUUUUGCUCUUACUUCUCCAAUACAAACUGGACAUGCCAACUUGCCCUUAGUGGACCAUCCACUAAUCAUACCAAGUGCUGGAAAGUCAUUUAUUGUCCACAUUAACGCUACUCUCAUCAUGAAAUUUGAACGUGAUGCCCUAUCAUAUGUUUCAACCCCUGUAUGCCAUAAGGACUUUAAUUCAUCAAUUAAAGGUCGGAGAUACACAUGGAAGUCUUUUGCCGGAUCAUUCGGUCCAGGAAUGAGAAGAGGCAUAAACAUGUACGGAGCUUUCGUGCACAUGGAUGGUGGAAGAUUAUAAAUAACAUCAAUCACAGGCCACACAGUAUAUUCUCUUGCGUGUGCAUCACGAAAGGGGUCAAAACCAUCAGUAGCAAUGCCUAUUCUGACAUUUCGUAUUUCUUUGGCAAAUCUGGGAAAUCUUUGAUUAAAUUGUUUCCAUUCAUCUCCAUCAGCCGGGUGACUUACUUGACCUUCAACUGUAACUCUAUCAUGGUGCCACGUCAUACACUUUGCAGUCUUCUCGGACAUGAAUAAUCGUUGUAGUCUCAAUGCAAGAGGAAAGUAUCUCAAAAUCUUUCUUGGGAUCAUCUUUUUCUUUUGAUCCUUUUGAGGCUUGUAUCGAUUUUCAUUACAUAUAUCACAAUAUAUCUUCUCACUAUCCUCUUUGUAAAACAACAUACAAUCAUUUACACAAGCAUCAAUCUUUUGAUAGCCCAUGUUCAACCCACUUACCAAUUUCUUCACAUCGUAGUAUUUCAUGGGCAACUUGUGACCAUUUGGCAACACAGAUCCAAUGAGUUCAAGCAACUCGUCAAAACCCCUAUUACUACAACCAUGCUUAUGUUUGAAUUGGAGUAGCUUGUUCACAAAUGAUAAUGUUGUAAAUCUUGUAUUAUCAUGAUAAAUUGGUUCAGAAGCACUAUCUAGCAUCUUAUAAAAGUUCUUUGCAGUUGCAUUCGGUUCUUCUUCAUCAUUCUCGAAUUGUCUUGUUGCCUCUGCAAAAUCUCCAAGCAUUUCACGUGCAUCAUAAAAAUCAUCAUCCAUGCAACCAACAUUCCUAGAACUUGUUCCAAUGUCAACCCGUGACCUAUCACUCUCCCCGUGAUAGUACCAUAUUGUAUAUCCCAGCAUAAUACCGUGCCGAUACAAAUCCAAUGUCACAUUAUCGGGAAACUUGAGAUAAUAAUUUCCACAUUCGUUACAUGGACAUCUUAUCCUCCCCUUUGAAUCAUCCGUUCAUGCACUAGCAAAUUUGAUGAAAUUUUCAACACCAAUUUUAUAUUCAUCCGUUAUUCUCUUGCUCGCAUCAAACCGACGAUUCAUCCAACUACGAUCGGAAGCCAUCUACAAGGUGUCCAAAUAUUCUAAUUAAUUAUCAAUUAAUAAUCUACACAUACACAUCUAAAUAAAAUCACCAAAUAUACAAUAAAUAAACAAUAAUUUAGCAUGUCAUUUUAACAUAAUAAAUAUUCUAAUAUAUUAUUAUUGUUACUUAUUUUCAAUAAAUGUUAUUCAAAAUGAUUGUUGUUAACAUUUUAAAUAUUUCAUAUCCAUAACAUUUCUCUUCUUGAAAAGUUAGCAAUUAAUAUUUUUCAUGUCAUUUUAGCAAUUAAUUAAGAGAAAUGACUUACUUGCUUUGAAAUUAGUAGAUAACAACAAAAAUUUAGCAUGUCAUUUUAACAUAAUCAUGUAAUUUACAAUUAUACAAGAAACAUAUAAUAAAUUUGAUAGCAACUAAUAUUUAGCAUGCCAUUUUAACAUGAUAAUGUAAUUAUCAAUUACACAAAAAAUAAAUAAUAAAUUAUGAGAAAUGAUACUUACUUGUUUUGAAAUUAGUAGAUGGGUGAGCUUGAAGGAAGAAGAGAAAAUGGUGGAAUAUGUGGGAGAGAUGAUGAGAAAAGAAGUGGACACAAAGCCACGGCAGUGGAUAAGAAAUAUUUUGAACAAAAGCGACCGCACUAGAAGGCAGUCGCUUUUGUGCAAAAGCAACCAACAAUGAUUUGCGGUCGCUUUUGUUUUUAACAUUUUUCGCCUCCCACCGCGGGAAUUUUCCCGCCCUACAUAUUAAAAAAACAAAAGCGACCGCAGGACACUGUUGGUCGCUUUUGUAUUUAAAAGCGAUCAAAUAAAAGCCACCACAUGCAAAAGCCACCAAACAAAAGCGACCGCCAUUAAAAGCCACCGUUAACGAUCGCUUUUAUUAGUCAGAAAAUGAAAGUUUGAACUUAUAUCAAAAGCUACCUGUUUCGGUGGCUUUUAUUUGUGGUCGUUUUUAUUUGGUCGCUUUUAACCAAUUUUCUUGUAGUGAUAAAGAUACAACAGUAUGUUUGGUAAAAGUGUUGUUUAUAGACUUUAAAGACAAUCUUUUUUUUCUUUAGCGUUAUGUAAAUGGUUAUCAGACGACAAAAACGCUUGUCUUGUAUGGAAAAAAAUAGAUUAAAAACAUAGUAGACUUGCCUGAAAACAGAGGCAUACGAGCAAUAAAUUAAUAAUCUGAAUGAAUUUAUAUUUUAUAAUUAGGUGAUAGAGACAUAUAAAUGAAUAUACAAAUUGGUGACCGUUGUGUUAAUUAGAAACAAAAUAUUUUUACUAUUUGUUGGUACACUCUUGAAUUAUAUAUUAAUGAACAUGAUCUUAAAGCGUUUUAUUUCUUUGUUUUGUUUUUGUUUUUAUUAUUUUGUUAGUUGAAAUUCUAUAAAUUAAUAUAAGCUAGUGAUUUUAUGUUCAUAUUUAAAUUAUUUUUAUUGCCUGACAUUAACUCACGAAACAACUCUAGAAAAUUACUAUCAUUUUUCAAAACUCAAAUAAAUAGUAAUUCAUAAUAAUAUUAGUCAAAUUCAUAUUAAUUAUAGUAAAAGGAACGAAAUAAGAAAUUGAUAAAAAAAUAGUUUUUAAAUUCAAGUUAUAUAACUUAAAAGGUUUAUUAAACUUCUAUUUUAAUUUAUCAAACAACUAUUGAAAUAAUUAUUACUAUUAGAUCUAGAAGGAUCCAGCUAGUGUUAUACACAUAACAAUUAUCUAUUAGGCAUCCAAAACAUUAGGAGUUAAAAAUUUCAAAUUUUCAUAAAAAUUAAAACCUACAAGCUAGGCCUAUAAAAUUCCUAUCAUAUGUUUCUGAAUUCAAAUAAAUAAAGAGUUCAUAUAUUGAUAUUAUUAGUCAAAUCCAUAUUAACUCAAAAAUUAACGCUGCCGUUAAAAAAUUAAGGACAAUUGGGUCAUAAAAAACUUCCUGUUAGUCAAAUUCCUAUUAUAAUAUGCAUCUUUUUCGUCAAAAAUUAACGGUGCCGCUAAUAAAUUAAGGACAAUUGGAUCAUAAAAAAAUUUAAAAUACAAGACCACUUCAAAACCCUUAUUACCCAUAAGGACCUUGAUAAAGAUUAUGCUCCUUGUUAUCAUAAAGCAGUGAAGUUCCAUGAAGGACUUUCAAAGCAGCUCAUACAUUAAGGGCAUGUUAUUGAUGUUUUUGCUUGUGGUCUUGACUAGGUAAUGUCAUAGCCAGUAAAGCUCAGUACUAUGAAAGAAUAUUUAUCAAGAGAAGAAAGCUAUUCACAUGUUCAAAACUUGUUAGGUCGGGGUUGCUGAACUUAAAGUAGCCGUUGAAAAGUCUGGUGGAUUAGCUGUGCUUGCUGAAAGCUUUGGCCAUGCUGUAUUUAAGGACUCUUUGAAACAUGAUUUUCAAUCUGGAGACCUAGAUCUUGGUCUUGCGUCAAAGUAAGCUUCAGAUAAAAUAGUUGUCUUUGUGGCCUAGCAAGUGGCUAGAUCAUUGCCCACUGCUUGAAGAAGAUAAAUUAUGAAGAAAAUAACACUUAAUUAGGGUUAAUACAUACUGAAUUAGGGCAUAAAUGGGGAAGAAGACUGAUUUUCCGGUUUUACCCCUGGCCUAUUUAGCGUUAACGUGGAUAUUUAAGGGAAAUAGCCGAAAAGGGUGCAUACUGCCGCGCACAAUAAAUAAGGGGACGUGAAUGUAAUUUCCUAAAGUAUGUAUAUACUAAAGUGUGUUUGGGAUCAAAUAUAGGGGUGCAAUUUGCAAUUAACUCUUCAAACUAAUAUCUUUCACAAGAUUGUAAUAAAAACGCACAAGAUUGCAAUAAAGACCAAUAAGAUGUGGUACAUUGCUUUGACAAGGGCAAACUCUGCGAAAAUGAAGCCACUGUAUUGCUAACAUUAAAAUAAUUGUAUGUGACCAAAACACAACUGGGUUUAUUACUACCAGUAACAGCAGAUCAACUCAUUCAUAUAUAUGAGUCACCUUGUUCAGACGGGACCCGAUUGGUAAACGUUUACUGGAACGCCAUAGACAAAUAUAUAAUUCGAAGUUUUUUAAAUUGCUGACAUAAAUUCACUACAACUUCAACAUUGACGGAUAACAAUGUUUGCUUUUAAAUAUUACUCUACUUGCAUCUCAGAGUAAAAUGUCAACUCAUAUACAUAAUACACUCUACUUGCAUCUUAAAUAUUCACUCUUGAGUGCGACCUAAAGUUGACCUGUAACAUAAUUGGUUGUUCACACGAGGACCUGAAGCAGAACCAUUUGUAACUGAACUCAACCAAAACCCAAAGAUGAACCAGGACAAGUGGUUCGGUUUCUGGUUCAUAAUUAUACUAAGCAUAAAUUUGUUUUACUGUCGAAUCCGAUAAAUCUGAUCAUUUGAUAGGAAGACUUGUUGGAAGUUUUGUUUGUCUGUUGAAAAGUCUUAUAGCCAUAACGUUUAAGUGCCUGUUUGAUAAAAAGUCGGCUUCCACUUUUCUUGACCCGUUUAUAUUAAAAGUAGUAGCACUUAUAAGAAGCUGACAAUGCUAAGCUUAAUUUACUUCUCACUUCUAGUCCACUUCUUUUUACUUUAAGCAAGAAGCACUUUUUUUAAGUUUAACCAAACGGUUUCUAAGUGUGUUGACAAAGCUUAAGAAAGCUAUAAAAACAAGAGCUAGGCAGUAAGGAUAUACACAUCAGUAACAUAAACUCCUUGUAUCAAAAAAGCUAAGCACAAAAAUGUACUUCUUUCUUCUUGUCUUACUGUACUUUGCUCGGGGAUUAAACCCAGUAGAUUCGUUCUCCCUCACAUUUGAAACCAACAAUACCAAUCACAGUAUUAUAAUGGCUAAUAACAUUACAGUUCUCCCAGAAUGUUAGAGCAAAUGCGGAAAACUGACCAUACCAUAUCCAUUUGGCAUCAACUCAAGGUGUUCAAUAAACCCCACCUUUGUUGUUACAUGCAACGAUACUGAAGAUCCUCCCAAGGCGUUCUUGAUGGGUGGCAACGUUCAAGUUGUAGACAUAUCCAACACCCAGUUGCGAAUCACUAAUAGUGUGGCUUACAGUUGCUAUAGUCCAUUGGGCGAGGUAACUUCUACCAAGAAUUCUUCUAUCGAAUUGGGAGCUACUUCCUACAUGUAUUCUGAUGAUAACGUAUUCACUGUUAUUGGUUGUGACGACUUUGGCAAUGUGCUGAAUAAUGAUUAUAGCAGCUUGCCUAAAGGAUGCAGUACCACAUGUGAAAACAUUGAUGAAGUCCGUGAAGACGGGCCUUGUUCAGGCAGUGGCUGUUGUCAAGUAAACAUCAACCUUCUCAAGAAAUUCAAAAUCGUCCUUAAAUCCUUUAAUAACCAUAAAAGCGUAUCAUUAUUCAGUGAUUGCGGCUAUGCAUUUUUAGGCGAGAAGAACUUCAAAUUCAAGGGUAAAUCAGAUCUGAAUGAUUCAGGUUUCUGGAACAGGACUAUGGAGACUGUUCCUAUAGUAUUGGAUUGGGUUAUUGGGAACAGAAAUUGCACUGAAGCAGCUCAGUACAAAAAUUCUUCUGUUUGCUACCAAAAUAGCAAGUGCGUUGACGGAUUUGGAACUCGGUACAGAGGAUAUAGAGGAUAUCGUUGCAACUGCAAUAAAGGUUACCAGGGCAAUCCAUAUCUCAGUCCUGGAUGCCAAGGUAAACAACUAAUGCAUGAAUUGGGAAGGAAUAGAUUGAAAUUUGAACUAUAUUAUGUUUAUAAAUUUCAUUCUUUCCUCCCGUCUAUUCCUUGAACUCUAUUAUAUAUUAGUUAUAAAUUUCAUUCUUUCCUCCUAUCCCUUCUAUCUUCAUUUGUUUUUAGUCAUUCCAUUAUAUUCUCCCCAACGAAAAACAACAUACGUUGAUUGCUCCAAAUUUUAAAUUUUCAAUAACUGAGACUUGAAUUAAUAUUGACGCGUGUAAAGUAUAUAUUGACCAUUAUGUAUGAUCUCUUUAAAUUGUAAUCAAUAUCUUCAAGCACUAUACUAUUUGUAUUUACUACAUAUUUGGUGAAUCAAACACAACUGUCAUUUGUGUAUUGCAUAAUUGAUUUUUGUGUUCGCGCUCAAGAGAGAACUAAUUCUUAAAAUAGAACCAUAGAACACGCACUAAGAUUCUCUUGCAAAACUCUAAAUUUUAAAUAGAUAUUCAUGAUCUAAAUCUAAUUACAUGUUUUUUGCGUCGUUGUUUGUGUUCAAAAUUAAUAUUUUAAAAAUAUAAUACAUAAACACGACAUUUUUUGCAUGUGCAAUUCUGUUCGCAGAACCCUUGUUAAUACUAGAAGGUUCUAAGGGUUCUUAGGCUAAGGGUUCUAGGAGAACAUGACCCUUGAUUUUUGUCUUAUGGUUUUCUUCUCACACUUUUCAUAUAUUGUUGAUAUCUAAUCUUUGGUAGUUUUUCAAAUCAGAAAUAAUUCGAUUUUCAUAUUAUGCAAGAUAUCAAUGAAUGUGAACAAAAGCAUGAUUGCCAACAACUUUGCAUCAAUACCGAUGGGAAUUAUAUUUGCUCCUGCCGAAGCGGAUACCAUAUUGACGAUUCUAAUCAUAAAAAUUGCAUUGCUGAAAGCUCCAAGCCACUGGUGACCCAGAAAAGCUCCAGGUCCCAAGUAGUCCGGUUUGCAUUAGGUAAGUUAGACCUCACAGCUAAGAGUACCCCAUUGAUACACAUUUGAUGUAUUCAUAAUUUGAUAUUUUAAAAAUAUUUAAAUACUCAUUUGCCUUGCCACAUCUUAUUAUAUGAUUUCUCUACGGAUCAAUAAUGCAGCUAUCGGGUUUUGUUGCCUUUUGGUAAUUAUUGGAAUGAAUUGGGUGUACUGCAUCAUAAGGCAAAGAAAACAUUCCCAAUUAAGAGAGAAAUUCUUUGAGCAAAACGGGGGUCUCCUCUUAAGACAACAAAGUACGUCUGAGAGUGGGAGUGUUGAGUCUACAAAACAUUUUACUUAUGAAGAACUGAAGAAAGCAACCAACAACUAUGCUGCUGAUAGAAUAGUUGGCGAAGGUGGUUAUGGUAUAGUUUACAAAGGAAUUUUACCUGAUCAGCGUGUAGUGGCAGUCAAAAGAUCUAGAGUAUUGGAUACGAGUCAAAUAGAUCAAUUUAUUAACGAGGUAGUGAUUCUUGCACAGGUUAACCAUAGAAAUGUGGUCAAACUUCUAGGAUGUUGUUUAGAAUGUGAGGUACCGUUGUUGGUAUAUGAGUUUAUAUCCAAUGGUACUCUGUUCCAUCAUGUCCACAGUAUUGCUGGAGGCUUGCCAUGGUUAUCUUUGGACAAUCGGUUGAGAAUUGCUGCUGAAUCUUCCGGUGCUCUAGCAUAUCUUCACUCGGCAGCUUCUAUGCCCAUCAUGCAUAGAGAUGUAAAGCUAGCUAACAUAUUACUGGAUGACAAUUAUGUUUCAAAAAUAUCAGAUUUCGGAGCAUCCAGGUUGGUGCCCAUGGAUCAAACUAAAGUGAUUACAUUAGUCCAAGGAACUUUAGGCUACUUGGAUCCUGAAUACUUCCAUACAGGUGAACUUACCGACAAAAGUGACGUUUAUAGUUUUGGAGUGGUCCUUGCAGAGCUCUUAACCGGUAGAAAACCAAUUUGCAUGGAAAAUUCUGUGGAAGAAAAAAAUUUAGCCACAUAUUUCAUUACCUCCCUCAAAGAAAACAGAUUAUUCCAGGUUCUAGAUCGUCGAGUAGUGAGGGAAGGAACGUUGGAUCAACUUCAUAAUGCUGCUCAACUGGUGAAGAGGUGUCUUAACCUUAAUGGCGAGGAAAGACCAACAAUGAAGGAAGUGACGAUGGAAAUAGAAAAUCUGAGGAAACUUUCUAAGCAUCCGUGGACGCAAGGAAAUGAAGACACUGAGGUCUUAAUAGGUCAGACAGAUUUUCAACAUUCAGAUCUUUACGAAAUUCAACCAAGUUCUUACCAUAAUGUUGUCAAUGACUCCGACCAAUAUAGCUCAAGUACUAUUAGCUUGUUGCAUCCUCCAACCAGCCCUCGCUGAAAUAUGGCACGUUUUGUUAUUUGUGUGAUACACAUGAUAGGUACACUAUGUAAUUAAGCUGUGCAUCUAAUAUAUGAAUGUCUUAUGGCGUAUAAUUUUCAUUUUAAUUAAGUUGUCGAUCAAAUACUGAUGUGUGUACUUGGCUUGCAUCUGUAUGCAUGAAUGAUUUUAGGCUUCCUUGUUCAACCAAUUUAUGAAACCUUCUAUAUAUCUUUAUUAAAAGAGAUGAAUUGUUAGGCACCCGGAUCUCCAAUUUUCCGAAUCAACAAAAAAUCAUCGAAAUCUGAAAUUGAUUAAAUUAUUACAAAUUUUUAUAAGAUCUCCAAUUUUCGUAAUUUAUUAAACAAUUAUAUAAAAUAUUUCAAUAAUUUUGAAUUUAUUAUUUUAAAAGGAUCUUUUCGUUCUCUACAACUUUCAUUCUUCAAGUUUUUUUCAAAAAAUAUCAUUUAGAGGGUCAAAAAAAUUAAAUAAAAUCUGGUUAAAAUAAUUUUUAAAAUUUCUCAAACUACUCGCGAGAAUUUUAACCUUAACCGUCAAAAUUAACAGAAUUGGUGCAAAAUGACGCGCCAAACGAACCAAUAUGGUGCAAAAUACAAUUAUAUAAAGUAUUAGCCUAAAAUAUUUUUACAACUAACUAUAUGUAUAUAAUCAUAACUGUAUGUUCACCAUAUUCGAAACCCUAUACUCCAGACACAUAUGGGACCAGCCACCAGGACCCAUAUUCAAAAGAAUCGAAACCCUAUUUCUACUCCUACAUUUGCAGAUCCCAUCUUCCCCAAUUCCAUCCGAUUUACGUUCACUUUAUCCUAAUUCAGCAUCAUAACUGUAUGUUCACGAUUUUUUUUUUGUUUCAUUGCACCAGGUUUAUUUAAAUAAUUGGCUAAAUAUCAAAACGGUGUUAGAUGAUGAAUGAGAUGAGAAGGAGCUUGAUCUCUCCUCUCCUGAAGUUGUCACCAAAUAUAAACUCUCCGCUGAAACUGUUAACAGUAUGUAUAUCUUUAUCUUUAUAUAAGUAUUUCUAUGUAUAUGUGUUUGUGUGUAUUGAAUUGAUGAAGCUGAAAUGGAUAAUGGACUGUUUUUACUUUUUGGGUUGUUCUAUUUUUCUUUUUGUUUUCUGGGUUUUUUUUUUUACGUGGUUUUAAUUAUACAUUCUGUAGAGCUGGUAUGUGUUAUGAAGCUUAGUGGUUUUUUAAAGAGGGUAUAUGUAUUUUUGUCCUAUAGAGCUGGUUGAAAUGUUUUUCAAAGAUGUGUUUUUGAUCAAUGUGUUAGGGAUAAAACACGGGAUUCAACUUCUAACGCAAAGCACACACAACAAUAUAUUUGACGCGGAAAAUCCACGUCCCAACUUGUAUUAUUAAUCAAAACCGUUAUCAAUAAUACAAUCAAGCCAAACUUGGAUACUCAAGUCUACUACUCAAGUAUCCGCCCGCAAGCGAUACCUAAGUCUACAUCUUGAGCACACCUAUCAAACACAAUAUAACUAUGUAUAUAUAGCCAUCUCAAACUUAGACAAAUCAGAAUCUAACUCUAACUCUGAAAUACCUAACUACAAUUGGAAUCCAAUUCUGAAAUCUUCAACUCAAAUCAGAAUCCAAUUCCAACUGGGUUAAUACCCAAGAAUCCUCUUCUAACUUUGUGACCAAAACAUAUCUUAUAAUAAUUGUCUAAACAUACAAUUAUUAUCCUUAUAUAUUUUGGAUCACCAGUCCAUGUUACCUUGUAAUGGGCUGAUACCUAACAGGGACGGAGUGAGUGAGUGAGGGAGAGAGAGAGAGAGAGGAGGGAGGGUGAGAGAGAGAGAGACGAGGGGUGGGAGGGAGGGAGGGAGGGAGGGAGGAGAGAGAGAGAGAGAGAGAGAGAGAGNNNNNNNNNNNNNNNNNNNNNNNNNNNNNNNNNNNNNNNNNNNNNNNNNNNNNNNNNNNNNNNNNNNNNNNNNNNNNNNNNNNNNNNNNNNNNNNNNNNNNNNNNNNNNNNNNNNNNNNNNNNNNNNNNNNNNNNNNNNNNNNNNNNNNNNNNNNNNNNNNNNNNNNNNNNNNNNNNNNNNNNNNNNNNNNNNNNNNNNNNNNNNNNNNNNNNNNNNNNNNNNNNNNNNNNNNNNNNNNNNNNNNNNNNNNNNNNNNNNNNNNNNNNNNNNNNNNNNNNNNNNNNNNNNNNNNNNNNNNNNNNNNNNNNNNNNNNNNNNNNNNNNNNNNNNNNNNNNNNNNNNNNNNNNNNNNNNNNNNNNNNNNNNNNNNNNNNNNNNNNNNNNNNNNNNNNNNNNNNNNNNNNNNNNNNNNNNNNNNNNNNNNNNNNNNNNNNNNNNNNNNNNNNNNNNNNNNNNNNNNNNNNNNNNNNNNNNNNNNNNNNNNNNNNNNNNNNNNNNNNNNNNNNNNNNNNNNNNNNNNNNNNNNNNNNNNNNNNNNNNNNNNNNNNNNNNNNNNNNNNNNNNNNNNNNNNNNNNNNNNNNNNNNNNNNNNNNNNNNNNNNNNNNNNNNNNNNNNNNNNNNNNNNNNNNNNNNNNNNNNNNNNNNNNNNNNNNNNNNNNNNNNNNNNNNNNNNNNNNNNNNNNNNNNNNNNNNNNNNNNNNNNNNNNNNNNNNNNNNNNNNNNNNNNNNNNNNNNNNNNNNNNNNNNNNNNNNNNNNNNNNNNNNNNNNNNNNNNNNNNNNNNNNNNNNNNNNNNNNNNNNNNNNNNNNNNNNNNNNNNNNNNNNNNNNNNNNNNNNNNNNNNNNNNNNNNNNNNNNNNNNNNNNNNNNNNNNNNNNNNNNNNNNNNNNNNNNNNNNNNNNNNNNNNNNNNNNNNNNNNNNNNNNNNNNNNNNNNNNNNNNNNNNNNNNNNNNNNNNNNNNNNNNNNNNNNNNNNNNNNNNNNNNNNNNNNNNNNNNNNNNNNNNNNNNNNNNNNNNNNNNNNNNNNNNNNNNNNNNNNNNNNNNNNNNNNNNNNNNNNNNNNNNNNNNNNNNNNNNNNNNNNNNNNNNNNNNNNNNNNNNNNNNNNNNNNNNNNNNNNNNNNNNNNNNNNNNNNNNNNNNNNNNNNNNNNNNNNNNNNNNNNNNNNNNNNNNNNNNNNNNNNNNNNNNNNNNNNNNNNNNNNNNNNNNNNNNNNNNNNNNNNNNNNNNNNNNNNNNNNNNNNNNNNNNNNNNNNNNNNNNNNNNNNNNNNNNNNNNNNNNNNNNNNNNNNNNNNNNNNNNNNNNNNNNNNNNNNNNNNNNNNNNNNNNNNNNNNNNNNNNNNNNNNNNNNNNNNNNNNNNNNNNNNNNNNNNNNNNNNNNNNNNNNNNNNNNNNNNNNNNNNNNNNNNNNNNNNNNNNNNNNNNNNNNNNNNNNNNNNNNNNNNNNNNNNNNNNNNNNNNNNNNNNNNNNNNNNNNNNNNNNNNNNNNNNNNNNNNNNNNNNNNNNNNNNNNNNNNNNNNNNNNNNNNNNNNNNNNNNNNNNNNNNNNNNNNNNNNNNNNNNNNNNNNNNNNNNNNNNNNNNNNNNNNNNNNNNNNNNNNNNNNNNNNNNNNNNNNNNNNNNNNNNNNNNNNNNNNNNNNNNNNNNNNNNNNNNGAAAACUAGAUGCGAUUCCUAGGGCUCCUUUUCGUAGGCGUGACGGGUGAUUUUAGGUUCACCAACCCGUUAAACUCGUAGACGAUCUCUACAAGAGGAGUUUUGUCUCCUAAGGGUUUACAGAAGAUAUACCCAUAAAAUCUUUGAGACAUUCUAGCAAGUGUCUACUCGACUCUACUCUAAUUUCGUUGGUGUUAACAAAAAGCGUUUUUAAGGAAAAUACGACUUAAAGACUCAUCUACUAAUAAUCAAGAUACAGUUGUCUCUAAUCUACUUGCAUCGACACAAAGAUUUACUAGAAAUCCAAGGAGUGUAAGUAAUUUAAGGCCUUUGAUGGAUCCUAAUUGUCUAAGAACAUUUUCUCUUUUUCAACCAAUUUUGAACUGACCCAAUCUCUAUCGAAACAAAUAUCUAGCCAAACUUCACAAACUCUUAUUCUUCUUUUUUUUUUCUUUUUUUUUUCUUCUUCUUUUUUUUGCAUUGACUUUAUUUUGUCCGUUUUCUUAGGCAAACAAUGUUACCCAUGUAGCGAGCUUUGGGUCAGUGACUCCCAAACCAAACGGUCUUAGGGCACUAGGUUUUGAAAUCCCCCGACGGACUUAAUUGCUCGAGUAACAAAGGCCACAAAACGAGACUAGCCAAUCUACUUUUGCCCAUUUAUCUAAAGAAUUUAUCUAUAAAGAACAAUGGGUAUUGAAGUAGUUUAUUCCUCUUUUCUUUUCUUUUUUUUUCUUUUUUCUAUCUCUCUUUUUUUUCUUUUUUUUCUUUUUUUUCUUUUUGCAUUCGCAAAGGUUCGAUUCGACAUUGUUUCAACAUGUGGGUUCUCUCUCAGGUAUCGAAUCAUAUCACUAGACAAUCUCUUCAUCAAAGGUCUUGUGCAAAUAGAGUACAAAUCGGUCGAUACAAGUUUCAAAAAGACAACCUUACUCAACUACGUUCAAAUUAUCUAAAAGACACUACAUAUAUAUACUUUUCGAAAACAUGCUAAACACCAACUACUCCUAAAGUUCGAGUGAGAGAAAGACAACUUAACUAAAACAUCUCUGUUUUUGGAUUUUUCUAAUUUUUCAAUUUUUAGGGAUUUUCAUUUUUUAAGAAUUACACUAAAGCCCUCCCCAUACCUAAAUCAUGCAUUGUCCUCAAUGUAUGCAAAAGAGAGAGUUGAAAUGAGAGAGUAAAGAGGAAAAAUACCUGAAUAGGGGAUGAAGGGGGUUUUUAUAACUACUGAAGCAACUUACAUGAUCAAGGGUCGAAUGAGGUUGAUGACCUCUUCCUCCGAAUCAACAGGCAAUUCUAAAAAUGGUUUAAGACGUUGACCAUUAACUUUAAAAACAUUACCAUUUUUAGGAUCCUGAAUUUCAAUAGCACCGUGAGGAAACACAACUUGAACAAUGUAAGGACCGUCCCAUCUAGAACGCAACUUACCGGGAAACAAAUGAAGCCUAGAAUUGUAGAGAAGAACUUUUUUGGCCGGGGAGAAAAGGAUUUUCUCAAGAUGGUCUUAUCAUGGAAGGCCUUAGUUCUCUCUUUGUAAAUUUUAGCGUUUUCGUAGGCAUCAUUUCUAAGUUCGUCCAACUCGGUCAAUUGCAACUUCCGAUGACUACCGGCGGUGGGUAAGUCGAAGUUCAAUUCUCUAAUGGCCCACAUGGCCCUAUGCUCUAACUCAACCGGCAAAUGGCAAGCUUUACCAUACACGAGUCUAUAAGGAGACAUUCCUAAGACGGUCUUAAAGGCGGUCCGAUAGGCCCAUAAGGCAUCUAUCAACUUGGUGGACCAAUCCUUCCUAUUCGAGUUGACCGUCUUUUCUAAGAUUUGCUUAAUUUGCCGGUUUGAGACCUCUACUUGGCCACUAGUUUGAGGAUGAUAAGGGGUAGCAAGCCUAUGAGUGAUGGAGUACUUCUUAAGAAGAGACUCGAAUUGACGGUUCUUGAAAUGUGUCCCUUGGUCACUAAUGAUAGCCCUAGGUGUACCAAAUCGAGAAAAGAUAUUCUCUUUAAGAAAGCGAAGGACAACUUUGUUGUCAUUAGACCGGGUCGGAAUGGCUUCUACCCACUUAGAAACGUAAUCAACCGCGAGAAGGAUGUAAAGGUGGCCAAACGAACUAGGAAAUGGGCCCAUGAAAUCUAUGCCCCACACAUCAAAGAGCUCUAUAACAAGGAUUGGGCUCAUAGGCAUCAUGUUCCUCCUAGUGAUUCUUCCUAGAUGUUGACACCUACUACAUGCGGAACAAUACUCGGCGGCAUCCUUAAACAAACUAGGCCAAUAAAAACCGCAUUGGAGGAUUUUAGCGGCGGUCUUCUUCGCACUAAAAUGACCUCCACAUGCUUGAUCGUGACAAAACGAGAGGAUGCUAUGAAACUCACUAUUUGGGACACACCUCCUAAUGAUUUGAUCGGGACAAUGUUUAAAGAGAUACGGGUCGUCCCAAAAGAAAUGUUUCACUUGAGAAAAGAACUUGGCUUUAUCAUUCUUGGACCAUGUCGAGGGAAUGUCACCGGUUGCUAAGUAAUUGACUAUGUCGGCGAACCAAGGGAGAGUGGAAAUCGAGAGAAGGUGUUCGUCGGGAAAUGACUCGCUUAAGGGCAAGUCGUUAGUGGAUUCAACCACUAAUCGAGAGAGAUGAUCGGCGACGACAUUCUCACAACCUUUCUUAUCCCUAAUCUCUAAGUCAAACUCUUGGAGCAACAAUACCCAUCUAAUCAAGCGGGCUUUUGAGUCUUUUUUAGAGAAAAGGUACUUAAGAGCGGCAUGGUCGGUGUAAACAAUGAUUUUGGACCCGAUAAGAUAAGAGCGAAAUUUUUCUAAGGCAAAGACUACGGCUAGAAGCUCCUUCUCGGUGGUAGAGUAAUUGAGUUGGGCAUCAUUUAAGGUCUUACUAGCGUAGUAAAUGACAUGAGGCCUCUUAUCUAUUCGUUGUCCUAAAACCGCUCCUAUGGCAUAAUCGGAUGCGUCACACAUAAGCUCAAAAGGUUGACUCCAAUCGGGAGACUUCAUGAUCGGGGCCGAAGUCAAUUCUCUCUUAAGGUCUUCGAAGGAAUGAACACACUCGCUUGUGAACUCGAAUUUGACAUCCUUAGCUAGAAGGUUGGUCAAAGGUCGGGCCUUUUUGCUAAAAUCUUGGAUGAAUCUACGAUAAAAUCCCGCAUGUCCAAGGAAAGAACGAAUUUCCUUAACGGACUUGGGAGGAGGGAGAUUAGCUAUUAGGUCGACCUUAGCCUUGUCUACUUCGAUCCCUUUUUCAGAAAUUUUGUGUCCUAAAACGAUUCCCUCCUUAACCAUGAAAUGACAUUUCUCCCAAUUUAACACUAGAUCCGUUUCCUCACAUCUUUUCAACACUCGAUCUAGAUUGUUAAGGCAUUGGUGAAAAGAUGGUCCAAAGAUGGAAAAGUCAUCUAUGAAGACUUCUAGAAAGUCACCUAUCAUUUCCGAGAAGAUGCUAGUCAUGCACCUUUGGAACGUGGACGGGCCCGUGGUUAGGCCGAAAGCUAGACGUCUAUAAGCGAAGGUUCCAAAAGGGCAAGUGAAGGUGGUCUUUUCUUGGUCCUCGGGUGCAAUUGGGAUUUGAAAAUAUCCCGAGUAACCAUCUAAGAAGCAAUAAAACGCAUGACCCGCUAACCUCUCUAGCAUUUGAUCGAUAAAAGGCAAAGGAAAAUGAUCUUUCCUAGUGACGGCAUUGAGCUUCCUAAAGUCUAUGCACAUUCUCCAACCGGAUUGGACACGGGUUGGAACUUGCUCAUUGUUCUCAUUGGUCACCAAAGUAAUGCCCGACUUCUUAGGCACUACAUGGACGGGACUCACCCACUUACUAUCGGAAAUGGGAUAAAUGAUCCCAUUGUCUAAGCACUUAAGAAUUUCUUUCUUAACUACCUCCAUCAUGGGAGGAUUCAACCUCCUUUGAGGUUCUCUCACGGGCUUUGCAUCUUCUACCAAAUGAAUCCUAUGUUGGACAAUCGCCGGGCUAAUUCCUUUAAUGUCCGAGAUGCUCCACCCUAUCGCUCCCUUAUGCUUUCUAAGGAUUCCUAAAAGUUCUUCUUCUUGUGACAAAGUCAAAUUAGAGGCAAUGAUAACGGGAUAUGACUCGUUAGGGCCUAGAAAAGCAUACUUGAGAGUGUCGGGAAGAGGUUUGAGUUCUAUUUCCGGCGGUUGUGACUCAACGGUUUUCUUAGGUAAAGGCAAAUGCUCGGGUUCAACAUCACGCUCUUGACUUGUUGUAGGAAUGGUGGAUUCUAACAUUUGGUUGACCUCAUGUGUGUAGUCGGAAACAUCCCAAUCCUCUCCAAAAUGUUUUAAGCAAAAUUCAAGGGCAUCUUUAGGAUUCAUGAGAUCUUGAUCAACUAUUUCAUCAAUUAGAUUAACGUCCAUAGGUUGAUCAUAGAAAUCAUCGGAUUGUUUCCCCACAUGAAAAAUGUUGAGGUCGAUUGUCAUGUUGCCAAAUGUUAGCUUCAUUAAGCCGUUCCUACAAUUAAUCAACGCGUUGGAUGUAGCUAAAAAGGGUCGUCCUAGGAUGAUGGGAAUUUGAUUCUUUGGGUUCCUAACCGGCUCGGUCUCUAGGACGACAAAAUCUACGGGAAACACAAAGUCACCUACUUUAAUUAGCACAUCUUCGAUCAUUCCCUUAGGAAUUUUCACGGAUCGAUCGGCUAAUUGAAGUGUGACAUUGGUUUGUCGGAGCUCCCCUAAACCUAAAGCUUGGUAGACAGAAUAUGGAAGGAGAUUAACACUAGCCCCUAAAUCAAGUAACGCCUUAUCCACAAAAGUUUCUCCUAUGACACAUGAAAUUGUAGGACAACCGGGGUCCUUGUAUUUCACGGGAAUUUGGUUUGAGAGAAUCGAACUAAUGUGAGAUGUAAGGAAAGCUUUCUUAGGGACAUGGUUGGUUCUCUUAUGGGUACAUAACUCCUUAAGACACUUAGCAUAUGAAGGAAUUUGUUGAAUUGCAUCUAAAAGGGGUAUGUUGACCUUGACUUGCUUAAACACUUCCAAAAUCUUCUCCAUUUGAGCCGAUUGCUUAGGUGAAAUAAGUCUUUGUGGGUAAGGGACUCUCGGUUUAUAGACUACUUCACUUUGCAACUCGGGUUCCGGGUUUGGGUCACUCGACUCCUCACGGGCUUUUGAACACUCGGGUUUGUCAUGAUUAAUGGUAGUGCGGGGUGGACUUGGAUUAGAAGUCGAAUCCCCUUUCUUACCGAGGUUCUCACCAACUUGGGUAUCAACUUGUUUACCCGACCUAAGAGAAAUGACCGAAUGCACAUUAUCCGGGGGUCUUUGAUUAAGAGGAAAUUUCGGGUUCACCUCGGGUUGGCUCGGGAACUUGUUCUUUUCUCGCUCACACAACGUGCUUGCUAAUUGACUCAAUUGGGACUCUAACUUAGAGACGGCUUGCACAUUAGAAUGCAAAAGUUGCCUAUCUUGAGUUAAAGUUUGCAUGAAAGUUUGUUGGGAUUGGGUCAAGUUAGUUUGCGAUUUCACUAAGGCCUCUAUGCUCUUUUCUAAGGAAUUGAGUCUCUUAUCCGAAUCAUUAAAACCGGGAGGAUUUAACGGAGCUUGACUCGGGUUUUGAUAAUUCGGAAAAGAAUUGGGAUUGGGCCUAGGGAAAUUAGGUUGUGGAGUUUGAAAAUUUUGCCCUUGGUUCCACGAGAAAUUCGGGUGAUUCUUCCACCCGGGGUUGUACGUUGGUGCAAACGGGUCAUUUCUAGGCUUAGGUUGAAACAUCGCGUUCACUUGCUCAAAAUCAUGAGAUUGUUGGAUCUCGGGAUGGGAAGCAUUAUAGUUCGGGAACAUAGGCAUAGAUGAGGGGCCACUAUGAGACUCUAAAGCUUCGAGUCUCUUAGUAAGGGUUGCUAAUUUGGCAUCGGUUGCCACAUUGUUUCCUAUCGAGUGCAAACCCCUAGAGCUAGACGCCUCGAUCGACUUUUUAGGUUCCCUAGUAGACUCCCAUAACAUUGUUUUCUCGGCUAAGUCCUCGAAAAAUUCCCACCCUUGGUCCUCAUCUUUCUCCAUGAAUUUGCCUUGGCACAUAGAUUCUAACAAAGCGGUUGUUUGACUAUCUAAGGCCUCGUACACAAUCUUACAAAGUCUCCAUUUCUCUAUUCCAUGGUGGGGGCAUUGUGAUAAAAGAUUUUUGAAACGAUCAAAGAAUUUCCAAAAAGACUCAUUUUCCCUUUGAUGGAAUUGAUUUAUUUCAUUUGUAAUUCGAGUCGUUUUAUGGUUUGGAAAAUACUUUUUAAGAAACAUUACCACAAACCCCUCCCAAGUGGAAAUAGAAUUGACGGGAAGACUAUACAACCAUUUUUUAGCAUUUUCUUUUAAAGCAAAGUUGAUUAGUCUAAGCCGAAUGGAGUCUUCGCUCAAUUGUUGGAGUUUUUGCAAACCGCAAACCUCCUCAAAUUCUUGAAUAAAAAGAUAGGGAUCCUCACCUUCACUCCCUAAAAAUUUAGGCAACAUACUAAUGUGAUGUGCCUUAAUCUCGAAGUUAUUCCCAUUAACGGGAGGAAGAGUGAUACAUGAUGGUUGAGCAGAACGGGACGGGUAACAGCGGUCUUUAAGAGACAACGCCAUGUUUACUAUCGGUUCGCUAGCUUCUAUGGGUUCGGAGUCCGAAGAGGACGAAGAAGGAAUUUCGAUGAUCGGUCUAACUAAUCUAGACGAUUCGCUCCUAACCCAAGUAGUUCGCAUAAACUAGAUAGUAAACACGUAGCAAAUAAGUGCGAAAAAUAAAAUAAACAAAAGAAAGGGUGUAAAAGUGAAAGAAAAACUUAAUUCUAGGGUUCCCUAAAAAAAAUGAACUAGACCUUGCUCCUAACGUUAAGGACCACCAAAAACUCGAUAAAUCCAAAAUUAUUCGGACCGGUCUGGCCAGUUUGGAGCAGGCAUUGCCAAGAGGCCAAUCUCCGCGCUUAGACACCAAACCUUAAUCGGCCAGGUAAGCUUUCGCUUGUCCUAGACACCGAAAAGUCGGAAUAAUUAAAGAUUACCUCGUCUUUUAGGUACCUUCCUAGUUGAGCGCGAAAUCCUAGGGGCUAACGUCUAAUUCAAUUUUAUUAAAAGGCUUGGGAAAUGCAAAAUGAAGUAAUUAAAUCGUUGUGGGCCAAGAAAAGAGUUAUGAAAUCCCUUCCCUUAUCUUGUGAGUGGGUUUUGCCCUUAAGAUUUAUUUAAAAUGAUGCACCACACAACGAGAUAAUAAAGGCGAUAAACAACUAUGGAUGCUUAGACUACGUGUUUUAAUCUAAAGAAAAGAAAUUAACGUACCUUUGGGUCCUCCAGCGAUCACCACAAUUUAAGGUACGAAAAUUUAAAAACAAAAAUUAAAAUCUAAAUGAUGUGCUCCUAAGUGAUUAAAUGCAUGAUGCACAAUUAUGUAGUUCUAACUAAUAUUUUUGGAUUUUAAUUUUUUUUAACGCAAAGCACACACAACAAUAUAUUUGACGCGGAAAAUCCACGUCCCAACUUGUAUUAUUAAUCAAAACCGUUAUCAAUAAUACAAUCAAACCAAACUUGGAUACUCAAGUCUACUACUCAAGUAUCCGCCCGCAAGCGAUACCUAAGUCUACAUCUUGAGCACACCUAUCAAACACAAUAUAACUAUGUAUAUAUAGCCAUCUCAAACUUAGAUGAUGUGCUAAGAAUAUUACCUUUAAAUAUCGCAAGCGCACGAUCACCGUUUUAAUAUUUAUGAUUCGUCCACAGAGAUUAAAAAUUAAUUUUCGACACCUUUAAAAUAAAAUCUAGGCGAAUUAGACAAUUUGGUCUUGAUUUUGAUUUGACUAAUUAAAGAAAAACGAAUACUGAUUACUAAUAAAAACAAACGAUUAAACCAAAAAAAAGUUAAUAAACUAAAUUAAACUCAUAAUUCAAGAUUUAUUAAAAAUUGAGAAAAUGGGUUUUCUAAUUAAAACGAAACUAAAAGAAAACUCAACAGUGAAUAAUGGAACACUUAUUAUCCUGAAAUCAACACCAUGCAAUACAGUAGCUUGCGACUAGUAAUACAAAACAAGAUAAAACAAUAAUACUCAGUACUAACAAAGACAAAAGCAGGCUCAGUAACAUAUCAAAAUUAAUGCCAUAAUGAAGAAACACAGCACCCGAAAGUUUAAAACAAGAGUUACCAUGACAUGUAUCCUUAACCGAAAACGCAAACCCAGCCUAAAAAGUAGCAGAACACCACAGCAAACACUGACUUGUGGCGACUCAGGACUCUCGACUAAGCAAAACACAAGAAACAAAAACGCAGCAAGAAAUUAAAAGAAACUCAGCCAAACAGCAAACGAACCCAGCCACACAGAUUCAGACUAACUAAAACUCAGAAAAACAAACUCGACCCAUACUCAAGAUGCAGACUCAGAACUCGGCGGUGACUCGCUACAAAGAAAACAACUCAACUAAACAAGCUACUGACUCAAACCAACAACACGAACGAAACAAAUCGGUGAACAAUGACUCGGAAACAGCAAGCAAAAACGACUCGGGACAAGGGUUUUCGACUCAGCUACAGAACUAAACUCGGCACUAAACUAUCGACUCGGAACUCGAUCUACAGACUACACCAGACUUGCGACUCGGUACAAAACAAAAGAAAACCAAGAAACUCAGACUCGCCGGAACAGAGCAACAAACAAACUCGAACUCUACAAUGAACAUAAACCCAGCAAACAAAUCUCAGCAGACUCAGACAAAUCGCAGCAACCAACUCGAGCACAAACCACUCAGUACAACUCGUGGGCUCGGUGGCAACUCGGCAAGCAGAAACAUAAAAACAGAGGAGAUGAAUUCGUUUUUGUAACCAAAAGGAGGUGAGACUUUAGUUAAUACAAGAAAACAAAAAAGGAUCUGGGUUUGAUUUAAUUAAAAACAGAGCAGGGGUUUAGGAAAGUGAAAACAGGGGAGAGGGUUUUGUUUUAACCGAAACAGAGUAAUAGUAAACUGGGUUUGUUAAACGAGGGUUUUUAAUAGCUAAAUUUUUUAAUUAUUUUUAUAAUUACUAAUUAGCAAUUUAAGCAAUAAAAUCAAGAACAAGAAAAUUUGGGGUUUUAGAUCUAAACCCUAACACAAAUUAAUUUUGUGCUAGGAUUUAAUUUACUAAUUUAAAAGAUCGCAAAUCUACACUAAUCACAAGCUCAAUGACUUCUUUUUUUCCCAAAAAGCAAUUAAGCAUAUGGUGGUACUAAGAAGCAACAUUUCACUUGGAGCAAGAAGAUUAAGACAAUACAAGAUUAAGCUUAAAGAAGAUUUGCAUUAAAAAUAAAAGUGUUUACAAAUAUGGUAUGAAAUUGAGAGAACAAAAGAAGAUCUAGCACUAUACUACCUACCAACUAGGAAAAGACUAGGUUAAAAAGAUUAUCCUUACAAGUAAAGGGGGUGGGGGUAUUUAUAGCUAGAAAUGUAGGGUUUAGGGGUAGGGUGGCUAAAUCUAAUCCAUCCAUGUGUGAAGUGUGUUGGGUAAAUCAUAGCCAUCCAUGUGCCCCCUUGCUUGCCAACUCUCUUUGAUUUUCUUCUUUUCUUUUCCCUUUUCUUCUUUUUCUUGCAUUUUCUCUUCUUUCUUUAUUUAUCUACAAUUUCCUGAAAUAAAAUAAAUAAGCGAUUAAUACUACAAAAAUAAACAAAAAAUAGGCACUUAAAUAUGCAAAAAUAUGGACUAAUCAUUAUUAUCCUUAUAUAUUUUGGAUCACCAAAGUCCAUGUUACCUUGUAAUGGGCUGAUACCUAACAAUCCUCCCCUUCAGCCCAAUACAAUCAACAAUCACGAUGAAGACACCGGCGUCCAUCCGCCAAUGCCUCCCCUCGAACAAGAAUCUCCGCUUCUCGUUCUUCCAAACUUUGAGUGUCACCAAAUUUCACUUUAAUGAACUCCCAACCACCGCUUUUUAUCAAAACGGUAUAUCCAUCUACAAAAUCACGUGCAUCAACCACGAGUGCUCUUCCAUCCAUGAGUCACCCGAUCCUUGCUUUCACAAUCCUCCGGCCUCUAGAAGAACCAUCCAAUCUUCUUCCAUAUUGAGUCCAUCAUGAUUGAUCCACGGUGCAAGUCAACCGACAUACCGCACGUAACUUUGCCUAUUCCUGCUAACAAAAUUCACCAUACUCUGCAUUCUCGAUUGAAUCCCGAAUUUAUCCUCAACCCCAUCAAUCACGAUCCUGACCUCGGCUCUUGAUACCACUUGUUAGGAAAAAACACGAGAUUCAACUUCUAACGCAAAGCACACACAACAAUAUAUUUGACGCGGAAAAUCCACGUCCCAACUUGUAUUAUUAAUCAAAACCGUUAUCAAUAAUACAAUCAAACCAAACUUGGAUACUCAAGUCUACUACUCAAGUAUCCGCCCGCAAGCGAUACCUAAGUCUACAUCUUGAGCACACCUAUCAAACACAAUAUAACUAUGUAUAUAUAGCCAUCUCAAACUUAGACAAAUCAGAAUCUAACUCUAACUCUUAAAUACCUAACUACAAUUGGAAUCCAAUUCUGAAAUCUUCAACUCAAAUCAGAAUCCAAUUCCAACUGGGUUAAUACCCAAGAAUCCUCUUCUAACUAUGUGACCAAAACAUAUCUUAUAAUAAUUGUCUAAACAUACAAUUAUUAUCCUUAUAUAUUUUGGAUCACCAAAAUCCAUGUUACCUUGUAAUGGGCUGAUACCUAACAAACCUCCCCUUCAGCCCAAUACAAUCAACAAUCACGAUGAAGACACCGGCGUCCAUCCGCCAAUGCCUCCCCUCGAACAAGAAUCUCCGCUUCUCGUUCUUCCAAACUUUGAGUAUCACCAAAUUUCACUUUAAUGAACUCCCAACCACCGCUCUUUAUCAAAACGGUAUAUCCAUCUACAAAAUCACGUGCAUCAACCACGAGUGCUCUUCCAUCCAUGAGACCCGAUCCUUGCUUUCACAAUCCUCCGGCCUCUAGAAGAACCAUCCAAUCUUCUUCCAUAUUGAGUCCAUCAUGAUUGAUCCACGGUGCAAGUCAACCGACAUACCGCACGUAACUUUGCCUAUUCCUGCUAACAAAAUUCACCAUACUCUGCAUUCUCGAUUGAAUCCCGAAUUUAUCCUCAACCCCAUCAAUCACGAUCCUGACCUCGGCUCUUGAUACCACUUGUUAGGAAAAAACACGAGAUUCAACUUCUAACGCAAAGCACACACAACAAUAUAUUUGACGCGGAAAAUCCACGUCCCAACUUGUAUUAUUAAUCAAAACCGUUAUCAAUAAUACAAUCAAACCAAACUUGGAUACUCAAGUCUACUACUCAAGUAUCCGCCCGCAAGCGAUACCUAAGUCUACAUCUUGAGCACACCUAUCAAACACAAUAUAACUAUGUAUAUAUAGCCAUCUCAAACUUAGACAAAUCAGAAUCUAACUCUAACUCUUAAAUACCUAACUACAAUUGGAAUCAAAUUCUGAAAUCUACAACUCAAAUCAGAAUCCAAUUCCAACUGGGAUAAUACCCAAGAAUCCUCUUCUAACUAUGUGACCAAAACAUAUCUUAUAAUAAUUGCCUAAGCAUACAAUUAUUAUCAUUAUAUAUUUUGGAUCACCAAAAUCCAUGUUACCUUGUAAUGGGCUGAUACCUAACACAAUGUGCAGAUGCUUUGCAAUUAGUAUUGGCGACAAGUUACAGUGUAAGCCAAAGGCAAGUAUUGUUAAUAUAUGUGAGAAGGGAAAUGCCUUCACUAGAGAGUAUGGUUGUAGCUGUUGUAUUUUGGGUUUUAUUUAUUUGAUCAUGGUAAUUGGGUAGUUUGAGUGUGAAGUGGAUAUGAGCUAUGCAUGAUUUCUUAGUCUAUCUAAACUCCUCUAAAUGAUGAUAACUUGUAUAAGCUAUAGACUAUUGUCUAUGUGAAGCUUUUUGUCAUAGUUACUCUGAUAGGGAAUAUAUUUCAACUGCACUGUAUUAUAAUCUUGAUGGAGAACAAGGGUGAUAGGAUUCAACCUUCCAUGUCAGAACUUUGUGCUGUUAAUCUUUAGCUAAUCAUCUUUUUCUUCUGAUAGGACACUUUAGUUAUUGUCAUCAUCGCUCUUUUUCGACCAGCUCACUGUCAUUGCAUAACUGAAUCUAUAUCCUUGAACUUGUUUAUCAUGUUCUGUUAGAAGCCUUAUAUUGUAUAUAGAGUUUCUUGAAGUGCUUUAGCGGUUAAAAAAUUCUUAUAUCUUUCCAUGUAACUCCUUCAGAAUGCUAGCAUGACUCUACAUGAUGAAGAAAUCAUCUGGCCAAGGAAUUAAUUUCCUGUGAAGCACUAUAUAGUCAUAGUUACACUGAUAGAUGUCAUGCUCUUUUAUGGAGUGAUAAGACAUGUUGUUAUUGAUCAUGACAUUAUGUGAUUCUCUUUCUAUCACAUAUCACUUCAAGUAAGUAAAACAUCGGAUUGCUUGCCUGAAUUGUGCACUGUAGCUACUAGAUUAUGUAGGAUUGUCAUCAUCUUUCUAUAUCUUUUUUCCUUCAGCCCACUGCCACUGUGCAAAUUCUUUUAUAUCCUUGAACUUGUCCAUCAUGUUCGUUUAGCCUAUAUGGUUGUAUCUGUAUCAGUUUUUGCUAUUGCAUCAUACGAUAGGUACAGUUUUCAGCUUUCCAUAUAACUCCUUCAGAUAGUCAGGAUGACUCUACAUGAAGAAGAUACUAAUUGGCUAUGGCAUUUUAUUUCCGAUGAAGCCAUUUAUAGUCAUAGUUACACUGAUAGAUGUCAUCCAUCUUUCCUUUCAGAUUGUUUUACCUCUCUUUUAAGAAGUGCAACAAUGUGUUAUUAUUUAUGUGCCUCUUGUUUUUUCAUAUAUUACCACAAGUACUGCAAGGCCUAUAUUUUCAAUCCUAGAACUUGUCCAUUAUCCUUGAAUUAGACAUCCUGUAGUUGUCUUGGUUGUAGCAAGUGCAUAAUAGGUAUUUUUUGUUUUUGUUCAAUGCUACUCCUUCAAAAUGUCAGAAUGACCCUAAAUGAAGAAGGUAAUAACUGGCUAUGGUAGUUUACCUCCUGUGAAGCCACAUAUUUUCAUAGUUACACCGAUAGUGGUCAUGCUUCUUUCCUUUCAGUCAAUUCUUUAUCCAUGUAAAGGCAGUGGUGGAACCAGAGGGGGGAUAGGGGAUGCUAGAGCCCCCCCUAUCCUCGAAAAAACAGUGUAUAUUUUUUUCUAGCCCCCGCUGAAUUAGUGAUGUCAAUAUAAUUUUUUUUAGUCCCACUGAAUUAUCAAUGUGAGGGACUAAUUUUGUAAAAAAAAUAUUAAAAGGCUUGUUGCUAAUCACAUGCUUUUGUUUCACAAAUAAUUAAGCUCCAUUUACAGUAGGGAUUAUAAUUUGUUAAUUCUUGAAAAAAAUUUCAUUUUGUUCAAUCAGAACUACCAUGGCUGUUGUAUUUCCUUUAGUUUUAUCAAGAGCAUCAUCCGUACAAUUUUCAGCUUUCCAGAUAGCUUCUUCGGAAUGGCAGGAGGACUCUACAUGAAGAAAGUACAAACUGAGGAUUGAAUUUUAAUUUUUGUGAUGCCACAUAUUGUCAUAGUUACACCGAUGGAUGUCGUGCUUUUCUCUUUUUAGUUAAUUUUUGUUGAAAGAAGUGUUUCUGAUCAUGUGCCUUCUUUUUAACACAAAUAUCUUCAAGUAUGGUAAUGACUUUAGCUUCUAUAUCCUUGAACAUGUGCAUUAUGUUUAGUUAUAAACCCCAUUGUUGCGUCUCUUUUUUCAAGAGCAUCAUAGGUACAAAUUUUAGCUUUCCAUACAUUUCCUUUGGAAUGUCAGAAUGGCUCUGCUCGUAGAAGACACUAAUUGCCUAUGGAAUUUUAAUUUUUGUAAAGGCACAUGUGGUCAUAGUUGCACUCAUAGUUUUCAUGCUUCUUUGCUGUUGGUCUAUUCUUCCUCCCUCUUAAGUAUUGAAAGUUCUUUUUUUAACACGUGCCUUGUUUUCACCCAAAAUACCUCGAGUACAGUAGCAUCAGUUUCGAAUGCCAGAACUGUCCACUGUUACUUGUUAUAUCUGUCUUCUCAUAGAAGAAUUUAGUGGUUUUCAUCAUUAUUCUCUGUUUUCUACUGGCUCCACGCUAUUGAACAGGUGAUUUCAUAUUCUUGACCUUUGAUAUUCAUGAUAUUUGUAUCCAGUAACUUGUCACUAUAAAUUUCUCUAAAUUGAUGUCUGUCUUAUUUAACAAAUAAACAAUUGCUUCUAUGGUGCUACCUGUUAAAAGUAACAUGAGUUUGAAUCUGGCUGACUUUUUUGUUGAAGUUUAUCUUAUAGAGCUUAUACUUGUUAUCUCCUGAUAUAACAUACUCUACUUGUUAUAUUUGAGUUGGAUAUCUGGCACAGUUGAGUGCUUGCGCCGCUUAUCAAAAAAAAAAAGUUGAUUGCUUGCACCAUAGUUGCUGAAAUUAGUAGAGGCGGCUGGACGUGCUAGUCAAUUUCUUGAAUUACACACUAGGCAUGCAUUCAGUAAGUAACUUCACAGCAUCUUGCCACCAGAAUUUAUGGUAAUAUGUAGGUGCUCUGAUAACUACAGUCAAACAUUGAGUGGUUGCUACCUUCAUUACUUGCUAGGUAAUUUUGGUUUCAUUCUGUUAAUAUUUGGGUGCAGACACAAUGUGUGCAUAUUUUGUGGAUUUCUGAUGCUUACUGUGACCUGGGAAGUAAUUCUAUGCAUUAUUUAUAAUAUUUUGGAUUGCUUGCUUAAUUUUGAGUUGCUGUUCCAUUUUUUUCAUACCUGAUGAUCUGCUAAUGCUACUAGUAUAUGUAGUUAAAUCCAUUAUUAGAUUAAAAGUUUUCUUUAUUUCUCUCCAAUUUCUUGUGAUCAUUCUUUUUGCUGUGGCAGAACAAGGAUGUGUCUGAAGCGGUUCAAAGGGUUGCCUCUGCCUAUGACUGUAAAUUGUUGAAGGAGUUCUAAGUCAUCAGCUCAAAGAGUUUGUGAUUGACGGGAACAAAGUUCUCUACAAUGUCUCAAGCCCUGAUACAAGAGUUGAUGCUGAUGAGUUUGAGGAGAAUGAGGUUUUAAGCUAUUGAUAUUGUCACCAGCACAGGAGAAGGGAAGGUAAGAUUUAUCAUUCAAUACCUUCUCUGAUAUACACCACUUUGAUUAUAAUACAAUAAUCUUCGCCUUUUGAAUGAUGUAGGAAGUAAUUGUUAUGCUUAAUAGCCAUCUAAUAAUUCAUACCCUUCUGUAUGAUUGAACAUUACAGCACAAGUUGUUGGAUGAAAAGCAGACAAUUGUUUAUAAGAGAGCCGUGGACAAGAAUUAUCACAUGAAAAUAAAGCAUCAAGGUUCAUAUUUAGUGAGAUAAGUCAAACGUUUCCAAUUAUGCCAUUCACAACAAGGUUUGUCAAUCUUUCAAAUCUUAUGGUGCAAGUCGUAACAUGUUUUUUCAGACCUCAUCAUUAUCACCUACGAGUCUUAAGAUUUUAUUUGGCAGGGCUUCAGAAGAGAAAAGAGGUUGCCUUGGAUUAAUGAAAAUGUGUGAAUCAUAUGAUCUUUUCAACCAUAUUCCAAUCUUUAUGAGAAACCUGGUAAUAUAUUAUUGCAAGACUAUUACACAGAAUUUUUGUUGGAUGUACCCAUAAAGGUAACUCAAUUUAUCUUUCUUUUUUUCGCACUGAUGGAAUUUUUUGUUUCUGGUUUUCAGGUGAUUAUGUUGCCCAUAUUGAGUGUACUGGUUUGCUAAUGCCAAAUGGAUCGGACCGGAUCACUUCUCACCCUUUACAGGAGUUGGAACUUCUAGAGCCGUAAUGGCAGUGCACAGCAAGAAUGGAGACAAAUUAAUUCUUUCAAGUCUUCUCCUCACUGUACCUUUCCCAGCUGGUAAUGAAAUGAUGAAUCUCAACUGUACCAGAUAACCUAGUUGGUCUUCGUACAUAAAGUAACAGGAAACCGAUUGUUAUGUUGGGCAAAGUUAUAUCUUCGUCUGUUGGCUUUUAUUUUUUUUGGUUUUCCAUUUGGUUGGAAAAUUGUAAUGAAAAAUUGUGAAUGAACAUAGCAGGAUUAAUAAAUAAAAAAUAGAGAAUUAAAACACAUGAACCGAUGAAAUUGGGAAGAGUGAUGAAAGGAGAGGAUGAAAUGGAACAAGAAAUGAGAGGUAGGAAUUAGCCACCGUAAAAGAUGAAUUCUAUGUACUCAAAAAUAAUUUUUUUAUCACACGGUGUUACCUCAACUCCCUUAAAGGCACAGCUCUCUCUUCAUAACGGCAAAACCAAUCAUCUCCUACUCUUUAUAUGACCGUGUUUUCUUUUGUACCAAUCUCCUGUACUACAAUCAAAAUCUGUGUUCGCACUAAUCUAGCAGCAAAGUUAGAAACAGUAUUAUAAUAUGAUAAAUCAAGUAAUCCCAAAUCCUCAUUAAGCUGCCUUUGGCUUCCGACAGUAGUCUGUUUUUGUCAAUUACAUUACUGCACAACAAAAACCAUUGACAUUAAUCAUUGGACAACAGCUCUCCCCCACUACAUGUAUGUAAUAACUUAACUUUUGAAACUCAGAUGCUCAAUAUCCCUAUGUUUCUAAAUUUGAAACUCAGAUGCUCAAUAUCCCUAUGUUCCUAAAAACUAUGUCAUACAAGGACAACAAUAUUUACAAUUUUUGGACAAUCUGUAUACAGCAAUUGCAACUUUGUUGAGUGACAAAAAGAACAAGAAAAUGCCCCAGAGCCAUUUCCUGCACGAGCACGCCCAUUCCCCUGCACAUCGCCACCUGAUGAAGUUGUAAAGUAGAAUUUUAAUAAGAUGUAUUGCUAUUCUCAGCUGGAGGUUGACUUAUAAGUAACCAAGUAAUAUCACAAAUAACCAAGUAAUAACACAUUAAUAUAUACUACAUUACUGGCUUAAUAAAAAAAUCCCAGUUUUUUUAUCUAAAAAAUCUUUAUUGCCCCAUAUGAGCUCCAACUUUUUUAUCAAAAAAAUCUUUAUCACCCCCCAUAUGAUCUCCUUUAUAGGACUAGAGAACAGGAGUAUACUAAAGAUGUAAAGCAUAAUAUUACCAAAUGACUGGAAUAUCACACAAUACCAGCAAAUGGCUGGAACAUCAGUUCUGGCUUAUGUCAUAUUCAAAGCUUGCUUUAGUUGAGCAAAAGCUGCAGGAUGCAUUCUACCAAUGGCGGAAUCAAAUGACUUCCCGUGAAGGGCAGCACAGGUUUGAAGAUUUUCGCGCACUGAGUUCUCCAGUGAUAACUGGUGUAUAGGGUCAGAUAGUUUGAUCUAUAAUAGAAACAAAAAGUCAGUAAAUCACUCGCGAUAUAUAAUGAUGUGUAAAAUUUUGGAUAUUUACCUGUCUCUUCCUGUACUCUUUGGUAGGAAACUGAGGUCUGGCAGAGCUCAUAUUAUCGCUGCUGUUAAUUAAUUUUUUGAUAUUAGAAAUCAAAAGCAUUAUUUUGUUUAUGAAUUUAUAGUAACUAACAUUAAAAUUCGUGAACAUGUUAUACUUCAAAAUCUAAUCUAACCUGGACUCUUCCGUUAAAUCUUCGCUUCCACCCAGUAUAACACUUGUACAAGCACUAUUACAAUUCAAGAUGCAACAAGGUUUUAACAAUGCUCAGUUCUAUGCUUAAUUGCAGAUGAUUACAAAAUUAAGAAGCUGAACAAAUACCUCAGGAUCUGAUCAAGCUUGUCAAGCACUUGAGGUAAUUUUAGUGUCAAUAUAAUAGAAAGGGCUAAACCAAAUGUCUUUCUCUGAAUCGAUGUCACAUUGUCAAUCUGCAAUCAAGUAAGAGAACAUAUGAACAAAUAUAACUAAAUGCAAUAUUAUCACGACAACAUAGUGGAAAUUAGCUCAAAAUACAAACACAAGAAAUCUUAUACACUUGAUGAAACAAGAUUGUAGCAAUUCCUCGGAUAACAAGGCAUACAUGUAAUUUUGAAUAUACUGCACCAACUGACCUUGUCAAGCCAUAUGUCAACCAGACAAAGAAGUACGCCUUCUUCACUUAAAAAACCUGCCUGCUGGAGUAGUACCAAUAAUGAUGGCUGUGUUGUUAACUGUGCAAGGUAAUUGGUGUUCAUUACCAAAAUCCUUGCCAAAAUAGCUGCUGAAGAAGCUUUUACAGUUGUUUUAGAAGGAUCAUGAUUGUCUCCUCCAAUUAAGCAUAUAACAAUCAAUUUCUACGAAUAUUCAGUAAAAAACACAAGUACAUGUAAGUGUAUAUGUGGUAUGCAGAAAAUGCAGGCGGUACAAGAAGAUUAGGUAAAGAGGUCAACAAGCAAUUACCUGAAGAGUGCUGCUAAUUAACUGGGGAACCUCGACAGGGAAACACUGCAAGAAAUUUAAGAAAACAAAUUAGCAAUGUGGUCUUUAAUGUCGAGCAAGAUUCUUGACUAAAGUAUUAUCUGUGCAAUUCUAAACAAACUAUCACACUAUAAACUGUUGAAGAUUUCAUUCACAGUUUCAAUUACUGAGCCAUCAAAACUUUUGUCCCACUCUACAAAAAUCCCUGUGUCCCAAUCUAAUCUUCUUUUCAGCUUUUGGAAUGCUGAUGUUGAAAAUAAUUUAAUUCCGACAAUUAAUCCUCACACACAUUCUAUCUGUGUUUAUAAAUCUACUAUUCAGAUAAUUUCAAUUACCGAGCCAUCAAAACUUUUGUCCCACUCUACAAAAAUCCCUGUGUCCCGAUCUAAUCUUCUUUUCAGCUUUUGGAAUGCUGAUUUUGAAAAUAAUUUAAUUCCGACAAUUAAUCCUCACAUUCUAUCUGUGUUUAUAAAUCUACUAUUCAGAUAAUUUCUCUCACUAUAUAUACACACGAUAUACAGGAGAAUGCAUAUAUAAAUAUCACUUUCCGAUACAUAAAAAUCAAGGAAAUCUUGGGUUUUUCAAUCAAAUUAAGGGUAUCAGAAAAAUGUUCUACAAACAUGCUAUUAAUUCUCGCAUUAAAUUUUAAUAAUUUAUAGAGAAGAGGACAUUCAGAUUAGGAUGAAAGGACUGUCAAUCAAAUAAAAAUGCACAAGGCAUUAUUUUUAGACAGGGUAAAAUGUUUAAACAGAAAAGACAAACUGUUAUACCCAAAAAAGCUCUUUCUCAAAAAAUACCUGAAUUAGAAGGUCAAUGACUGGAAUAACUGACAGCAACCCUUUAUCGUUGAUAUUUUCGACAACGAAAUCUAGAAGUCUGGAAACACUAGACGCAUGAAGAUUUAGAAACUCAUUACCACCCAAAAGUAUGUAUCCUUCAAUAAUAUUGGCAGCAACCUACACUUCAAUGAAUAGCCCUCGAGAGUUACACAAUAUUAUCAGUCAUCGAUAUAAAGUGGACUUGAAACAAAUCACUUAUUAAAACCUUCACGUGAGCAGAACUUCUGUUCAAGAUCUCCACAAGAUGUGGGAAGAGUCCUAACAGUUGAGGUACCAUUGAAGGAGAAUGAGAAAUUGUAGCUUCCCAUAACUGCAAAACAAGCACAUCAUUGUUAAUAACAUAUGAAAAGAAUUGACCUUGCAGAUCUCUAACUUACUAGUGGUACUAUUAUAUUAAGAAUUGAAAUUUAAUGAAAAAAACAAUUGGCUAACCAGCAUAUAGUCUUCUAGAAGUUCAUCUGGACUAUUUAUAAUGAGUCCACCUUGCAAAAUGGGCACUAACAUGUUGUAACACAAGGGUGACUGAUAACCCAGUGCGACAACAAAAUUCUUCAAAGCAGUAAGAAGCUGAAUCUGCAGAAGAUUUUCACCAGAAGAUUCUUCCCAUGCCUUGGAAUAUUUACAUAAAGAAUUAGGAUAAUAUAUACAUUACAGAUAAGGAAAUACAAUCAUUACAACCUUAUGUUAAUAAAUGCAACCAGAGAAGUGUAUAAGAUGCAUCUGACAUCAUGCUGAAACUAUAGGCAGCACAUAACCCCUUGCUUUUACCUGAAUGAACUGCCUGCUGAAACUAUGGGCAGCACAUAACCACUUGCUUUUACCUAAAUGAACUGCCUGUAGUUUUUAAAAUUGCAAUAUGCAACAUGAUAAAAAUUAAAUGCUCACAUCACCAGCUAAAACAAUGGGACUUGAAUCUGACAUGACCAAUCACACCGUGCUAAAGUUAAAUUCAGUACCCAGCUCUAUUGGAACAGGGGCUAAGCCUUGCUUGGAUCAUAUAUAAUAUUAACACACACACACCCAAAACUCGUACUAGUGGCCAAACAGACAGGCAGACAAAAAAAACAAUGAUGCAAUUGAUAAAAUACUUGAAGGACAGAGGAGGUUUAGACCACUGGCAUAAAUAGUUAACUUGAAAUGGCGUUGAAUCCUUAUCAAGGAUACUAAAAAACAACUUCUUGUGAAAAGGACAACAAAUAACAUAAACAAUAAAUAUAGUUUUAAAAUUCACGAACAAAUAAUUUACUUCAUUUAGGCUCUUAGCAAUAUCCAGCAAGUAUUUUAUUUAAAAUCAGGCCGGAUAACUAAUCCUAAGGAACAAUGAUAAUACCUUCUGAAAGAAUUGCACCAAAUUGUUGGCAUAAGGAGUGACACCAUUGACAUGUGUAAUUAAAGCAGAUAUGGUAUUGAGAACUUGAACCUGAAACAAAAAUGUAUAACAAAUUUGAUUAAUAGACGAGAAAUACUAAAAUAGAAACAAUCUGUCAAUAAGAAGAUCGAAAGCCAAAAGAUAAUAAAGCCUGAAAGAAAUUGAAUUCACUUUCAAUAAAAUCAAUAUGAAAAUGUUAAAAAAAUAGGUUCUGAAACAAGAGUUCUAUUGCACAGCAAUCAAUGUGCCAGCAAUUUUUUUUAAUCUCAUACUUCCGUAUCCAAAUUUCAGGUUCUUUUUUGAGAGAUAUAUUCCUCCGUUUCUUUUGUAUGUCGCUUGACUUUUCUGGGAACAAGCUUUAGGUGCUUUGACCGAAUAAAUAAAAAUUUCCCUCCCUCCCGUUUUAUGGGAACUACUUUUUUUUUUUUUAUGGAUGUACCAAAAAGAACAAACCUUCCGUUUAUAGCAUCUAUUUAAUAUAAUUACAAACACACAUUCAUAUACUACACUUUUUUAAAAAACUCAUUUUCCGUGGUCGAAAUUGAAGUCAAAUAUUCAACUCUUAAAAAACGUGCUAGUCAAACUAGCUCACAUAAAUGGGACGGAGGUAGUACUAUUCUUAAAUUUUCAUUUUGUAAAUCAUAAUAUUGGUUACAACACCCUCUCCCAAGAAUUGGCAUGGAAAUAUGGAAUAUGUCAAUGGAACUAAGUUGACUAAGAACAACCAUGAACUGCAAAUACUUUGUUUAGUGUAAAGAAUCGAUUAGAAUUUGAAAGAAAAAAUAAAUUGAUAAAUCCCUGAACUAUCCCGGUUUUGUUGUCUAGGUCCCUGAACAAAGAUUCUGUAUUUCGGGUCCUUAACGUUUCAAAAUUUUUAGUUGAAGUCCAUGCCGUUAAAAAGAUUCUGAUGGAGUUAGAAUCUUCUGACAUGUGGCAUUUUUUUGCACCUCAUCAGAUGAUUUUUAAGUAAAUGAAAGAAUAAAUAAAAUAAAAGGAAAAAAAAAUAUUAUCCCAAAGACGUCUAUUACUAUUUAAAGAUAUAUAUUCAUUAAAACACACAUAUUGUUCAAAUUUAAAUUUAUCUUCAAAAUAUUAGAACAUUUAUACCAUAUUAUUAAAACUAAACAUGCAAAAGUUUGGUUGUUUUGUAGUCUUGUACAAUAGAUUAUAACCGUUAGAUCACUUAAAUCAAAUUGAUUAGAACCGUUAGAUUAAAUUUUCUAUAUUUAUACUACUAAAGGUCUAAGGUUCGAAUCCCGUCAACAACAAAUUAAUAUAUAUUAUUCGUUAAACACAUAAGAGAAAAUUAUUAACUAUCAAAGAUCAUCUUUAUAGGCUGGUAUACAUUAAAUGGAUGAAUAUUAUAUGUUAAUAUCAAAAUUCUAAAAAGUAACUUAAAUAUAAUUUCAAAUAAGUUAUGAACGUUAUAUUUCACUUAAAUUUUCAAACAUUAAUAUUAAUAUUAUAUUUAAUGCCAUCAACUCAGUUUAAAGUACAAACAUAUAAAAUUAUAUAUUUAUAUAUAUUUCUAACAUCACAUAUACUAUCUAUUCUUUUAUCGUGUAUGUUGAAAUAUUUAGUUUUAUUUUGAAGAUAAAUUUAUAUUUGUAUGAUAGAGUUGGACUCUAUGGAGUCUACACAAUUUGGAGUCUUUGGAGUCUUAAGACAAACACUGUUGGAAUUGUUUUACAUCACGUGGCUGAGAUUAUUUCAAAGAUUAUACAAUUUUUUUAAAAAUUGAAAAGUUGAUAAAUCACUGUACUUUUAAACCUUAUACGUAGAGUUGGUGAAAUCAUAUCCCAUAGAACACUCUCACGAAAAAAUCAUUAAAACAAGCAGAACAGCAAACAGAAAACAUAUCCACAAUGACUUUGAAUUACAACCUAUUUUAGUGAGAGAAAAAACGCCAAGAUCAAACAGAAUAGGAUCCACACUUUUGCUUUUCUUACAGAAUGAGUUUUGGAAUGUAAAUGUAUUUUUGAUUUUGAUUGUGAUGUCUAAUUAUUCUGUAUCUAAAAUCCACGCACGUGACUAUUCAUCUUGAUUUGUCAUUUGCAGUACAACUGUAAAAGUACAAUCUAGACAUCACUGUAGAACAAAUUAGGAAUAAAUUGAAGGACAACUAAAUGGAAUAAAGAUGGGAGACAGAUCGAAGAUAACGAUGAUUUUAGAAUUUAUACAUAUAAGUAAACAUAUAAUACACUGACUUUAAAAAAAAAAAAAAAAAAAAGGAAAGCCGUUGGAUUUGAAGAAAACGGACGGACCAGAUGAAGUACUCCAAUACUCCAAAUAAGUAUGGUCUCCACAAAACUUAGGCCUUGUAACUUGUAUAAUAUGUGUGUUUUAAUUAAAAUAUAUCUUUAUAUAAUAAAUAGACGUCUUUGAGUUAAUAAAAUUUAUAUUUUAAAUCAUCAAUUAUUCUUUAAUUUGUGUUUAAAUCAGCUUUUGAGAUGUAAAAAAAUUAAGGCCACCACGCCUGCAGAAUCUUUUUAACGGUGGGGACUUAAACUAAAAAAUUUGAAAAGUAAAGGACCCAAAAUACGGAAUCUUUUGUCCAAGUACCGGAAUAGUUCAUGGAUUUAUCAAUUGAUUUUCCCAAUUUGAAAUGACUAAAUAGAUGUCAGCUUGUGGCUGUAGAGAGGUGUGAACUACAGUUUGGUUAAGUAAUUAUACUAGCUUAUAUCCCGUGCUUUAAGUAAUUAUACUAGCUUAUAUCCCGUGCAAAGCAUGGGUUACUUUUAAAUGCCUUAUAUUUUCAAAAAUAUUUAGUUAUUUUGUUUUUAAUAUUUUCUUUAAUAAUUUUAAAAUAGAAUACGAUUGUUGGGAUUUUAAAAUUAUUUCUAUCUAUACAACCAAUAUUAUAAAAUUAUUUUUAAUAUGUUGUUGAUGGGAAUCGAACCUUAGACUUUUGUAUGCAAAAAAUAAUUAUGAUUGUAUCUAAUGGUACUCAUCAUUUAAAGUUAGAAGAAUUUAGCAGUUGUGAUUAGAAGGGAUAACCAAACUGAGGGAAUAAGCAAACUACAAAUUAUACCUAUGUUCAGUUA